AAUAGAUAGUUUAGAAUAUAUAUACCAACAUGAACUAUUCACAAUAAAAUGAACAAAGAAGAAUUUAUAAUAGAUGAAAAAAUAUAUGAAAACCACGAAGGAUCAAAAAUAAAAAUAGUAUUUUCUAAUCUAGGAAGAAGAUAUAAGAAAAUAGGUGAACAUUUAUACCUAAUGUUAGAAAGAGAAGAAUUAAAAUUAGAAGAUAAAUUGACAGCAAUGGUAAGAAUAGAAAAGGAAAAUGAAGAAAUAGAUAGAAAAAAGGAAAUAGAAAAAAUAAAACAACAAACUACGGAAGAAAUACGAAAAAUAGAAGAAACUAAAAAUAGUAGGAUUGCUGAAUUAGAAAAAGAACUACAAAUAUUAAAAGAGUUGUAUGAACAAAGACAAAAAGAAAAAGAAGAAAAAAAUAGAGAACAGAAAUUACUAAACGAGAUAAAUCAAUUUAAGGAAAAAUUAGAAAUAAAAAACAAAGAAUUAGAAAUAAAUAAUAUAGAUGUUGAAGAGACAGAGACAGAUAAUUAUGAUUCCGAAGAUAGUGAAACAUAUACAGAAAUAUUAACAAAUACAAAAAAUUUAGAAAUCAAUGAAAAACAAAAAGAAAUUAAUGAGGAAAACUUAGAAAGUACCCACACAGAAAUAAAUACUCUUGAUAAAAAAGAAGAUGAAAAUAUAAUACCUAAAACAACAGAAAUAAGAAAACCUAUAUAUUAUAAGAAUAAGUUUAAAAAAUAUAAUGAAUAUGACAAAUGGAUACCAAAACAAAUAAUUAAUAAAAAUUAUAACUUUUUAGACCUAGACUGUGUAAUAGAUACAGAAAAAACAAUACAAUUAUGGAUAGGAUAUAUGACAAAACAAUUAUUAGAUAAUAAUAUAAAUAUAACAGAUGCACCGGAAUAUAUAGAAAAAACACUAAUAGGAUCAGUAAAACUAUGGUUUGCAAAUCUAACCGAAAAUAGCAAAAAAGUAUUAAGAACUAAUAAACCUAUAGAAGGAACAUCAUCGACAACAACUAAACUAACACCUAUAGAAUUAUUAAAAAAAUAUGAAACAGCUAUAAAAGAUGAAUUUGGUAGUACGACAACAAUCGAAGAAGAACAAAAUGAAGAAAAAGAUACAAAUAGAAAUUUAAUGUUAAAAUUAGCAAUAUGUAAUAUGUGUUAUAUAGAUGAAUAUACUUGCGCAUUUAAAGAAUAUUAUUACAAAGGAGCAUAUAGUAUAGAAGAAAGUAAAGAAAUAAGAAAAUUAUAUUUUAAUAAAUUACCCGAGCCAUUUAGUUCGAAAAUAAUAAAAAGUUGGGAAGAAGCAAAAAUAGUAGAUACGUUAGGAGCAAGAAUAAAAUAUUUACAACAAUGGUAUAGAAACUUAUGUGAAAAAUAUAGAGAAGAAUUAAAAAUGGAAAAAACAUUAAUAAGAAAUUUAGCUUGUUGCAAAAAUAAAAUAGCACCCCAAUUUGGAUGCGAAGAAAGAUAUUAUAAGAAAAGAAAAAGACAUAAGAAAUAUAAGAAAUAUAAAAAAUCAAAAUAUAAAUAUAAAAAACCAAGAAAAAGAUACUAUGUAAAAAAUUAUAAACAUAAAAGACCAUAUAGAAAAAAGAAAUCUAUAAAAGAAUGUACUUGUUAUAAUUGUGGAAAGUUAGGACAUUUAGCUAGAGAUUGUAAAUUACCUAAAAAUCCAAAAAAUAAACAAAUAUCAGAAAUAAAAAUAGAAAAUACCGAAUACAUGCAGAUAGAUUAUAUAGAUUAUGAAUUAGAAAGUGAAGAUAGUAUAUAUGAAAUUUCAGAAAACGAAACAGAUAAUGAAAUAGAUAGCGAAAUAGAUGAAUCAAAUGACUGAAGAAGAUAUAAAAAUAAUAACAAAGGAAGAAUAUUUAAAUGAUGAAGGAACGGAACAAAAAAUAAUAUUUGACAGUAAUAUAUUUGAUGAAAUAAAAGGAAAAGAAUUAGAUUUAAGUGUAGACAAAAUAUUUAAAAUACCAACAAUAAAAAAUAUUUUUACUAGGAAAAAAGAUGAAUAUUAUGUAGUAUGCCAAAAAGAACAUGUAAUAGAUUGCAGAUAUGCAAAAGGAAAAGCUAGUAUACCACUAGUAACAAAAAGAAUAAUUAAUAAAGAAAUAAAUGAUAUAAAAAGUAAAGGAGAUCCAAUAAAAUAUGUACACCUUGGAGGUACAGAGAUAUUAAUAAAAGCAUGUUUUAGAGAAGGAAUAGAUACACCAAUAGAAUUAUAUUUAGCAGACGAUAGAAUUAUAAAACCUAUAGAAAAAAGCAUAAUAACUGCCGUAAAAGGAAAUCUAAUAUACCAAAAAUUUAAAUUUAUAAUAAGUGCAAAUUAUUCAGUAGCAGUAACAGAUAGGAAUAUAGAUAAAUCAUUAGUAUUAUAUUGGAAAAUAUCAGGAAUAGAGUUAACCCCAGGAAGUAAAAUAUUUACAGCAAGAUGUAAAAAUCUAUAUGUAUUAACAACAAAACAUAAAAUAACAGGAAAAAAUAAGAUUAACAAAAUACAAAUAGAAAGCCCAUUCGAACAAAUAGUAAAAACAAUAGAUUAUAAUGAUUAUACCUAUAGAGACAUAGAUACAGAAGAAAAUUUAGAAAUAGUAAAUGAUAGAAUAAGUACAACGAAAAGAAUAGCUAAUGAAAAGCCAGAAUCAUCAAGCUCAUCAAAAAGAACAAGUUAUGAAACAAACUCAAUAAGUAAUUUAAACCAAUAUUACAUAACGGGAAAAAUAAAUGAAAAAGAAUAUUUAAUACUUUUGAAUACAGGACAAGAAGAAAAUCAUAUAGCAAAAUAUCUAGUAAAAAAUGAAGAAAUAAAAACUGACAAUGAUAUAUGCCCAGAUCUACCAAGAAGUUUAAUAAAUAAUAAAAAUAUAGCAGAAAAAGAAAUAAUGUUAGGAGUUAGAAAAAUAAAAAUAGAAUUCGAAGUAAAGGAAGAAAUGCAAAAAGCAGAUAUAAUAUUAGGAAUAAAAUGGUUAGAACAAGUAAAACCAUAUAAUAUAGAACAUACACAAUUAACCUUAACAUAUAACCAAGAAAAGUUAUUCUUAAAAAGAGCCUUAACAUGAAAUGAAGAUACAUGUAUUAAUGAAGAUAGUAGUAGAAGGAUAUUACAGUAGAUAUUAUACGCCUAUGAUAGAUACAGGAGCAGAAGCUAAUUUAUGUAGAUAUAAUUGCUUACCAGAAAGCAAAUGGGAUAAACUAAAAACACCAAUAAUAGUUAAAGGAUUUAAUAAUGAAGGAAGCUUAAUUACUUAUAAAGCUAGGAAUGUAAAAAUACAAGUAUGGGAUAAGAUAUUAACAAUAGAAGAAAUUUAUAAUUAUGAAUUAACAUCAAAAGAUAUACUUUUAGGAAUGCCAUUUUUAGAUAAAUUAUACCCACAUAUAAUAACCAAAACAGACUGGUGGUUUACAACACCAUGCAAACAAAAAGUAAGAGCAAAAAGAGUUAAUAAUAAAAUAAGAAAGAAAACUGAUUGGAUAAAAGGAAGUGAAAAAAUUACACAAAAGUUAGAAAAUAUAAACAAUACUGAAGAUACAGUAGAACUAGUAGUAUUUUCGAUAAAUAAAACAGAAAUAACUAUAUUUUCAAUAAAUAAAAUAGAAAUAAUUCAGAAAAAAUUAGAACAAUUAUAUAGUGAAGAUCCAUUAAAAGGAUGGGAAAAACACAAAACUACUAUAAAAAUUGAAUUAAUAGAUAAGAAUAGCAUAAUAACACAAAAACCAUUAACAUAUAAUUUUGAUGAUUUAAAAGAAUUUAAAAUGCACAUAGAUGAAUUAUUAGAAAAACAAUAUAUACAAAAAAGUAAUAGUAAACAUAAUAGUCCAGCAUUUAUAGUAAAUAAACAUAGUGAACAAAAAAGAGGAAAAAGUAGGAUGGUUAUUGACUAUAGAAAUUUAAAUGCAAAAACUAUAACAUAUAAUUAUCCGAUACCAAAUAAGAUAUUAAAAAUAAGACAAAUCCAAGGAUAUAAUUAUUUUAGCAAAUUUGAUUGUAAAUCAGGAUUUUACCACCUAAAGCUAGAAGAAGAAUCUAAAGAAUUAACCGCAUUUACGGUACCACAAGGAUUUUAUGAAUGGAACGUGUUACCAUUUGGAUAUAAAAAUGCACCAGGUAGAUAUCAACAUUUUAUGGAUAAUUAUUUUAAACAAUUAUCUAAUUGUAUAGUAUACAUAGAUGAUAUAUUAUUAUACACCAAAACCAAAGAAGAACAUUUAAAAUUAUUAGAACAAUUCACAGAUAUAAUAGAAAAAUCAGGAAUAAGUCUAAGCAAAAAGAAAGCUGAAAUUAUGAAAAACCAGAUAGAAUUUUUAGGAAUACAAAUAGAUAAAAGUGGAGUAAAAAUGCAACAACAUAUAGUACAAAAAAUAAUAAAUUCGAAAGAAGAAUUAGAUACAAAAAAGAAAUUACAAUCAUUUUUAGGAUUAGUAAACCAAGUAAGAGAAUAUAUUCCAAAAUUAGCAGAAACCUUAAAACCACUGCAGAAAAAAUUAAAAAAGGAUAUAGAAUAUAAUUAUGAUGAAAAAGAUAAAAAACAAGUUCAAAAAAUAAAAUUACUUUGUAGAGAAUUACCAAAAUUGCAAUUUCCAGAUGAAAAUAGAAAAUUUAUAUAUAUAGUAGAAGCAGAUGCAAGUGAAUAUAGUUACGGAGGAGUACUUAAAUAUCGAUAUGAAGCAGAAAAAAUAGAACACCAUUGUAGAUACUACUCAGGUACGUUCAACGAGACAGAAAUAAAAUGGGAAAUAAAUAGGAAAGAAUUAUGUUCAUUAUAUAAAUGUUUAUUAGCAUUUGAGCCAUAUAUUGUAUAUAACAAAUUUAUUGUACGAACAGAUAAUACACAGGUACGCUGGUGGUUAACAAAGAAAAUACAAAAUUCAGUUACAACAAAAGAGAUUCGAAGACUAGUUUUAAAUAUAUUAAAUUUCACAUUUACAAUUGAAGUGAUCAGUACUAACAAAAAUGUUAUUGCAGAUUACAUAUCAAGACAAAGCUACACAGACUGAAAUAGUAGAGGAAGAUACUCUAGAAAAAAUACUUAACACCCUAACUACGCUUUCAAUGAAAGUGGACAGUAUGGGUAAUGAGAUAGAAAAGCUAAAGACUAAUGAAGAUAAACUGAAGUCUAUAGCUACAAAUCAGCUAACUCAGCAGUGUGCAGAGCUAUGUCGAUCGAAAGACAUUAAAAAUCCAGAGCUAGAAGGAGACGUUGGGACACUCCAUAAAACCCAUAACAUUUAUCAAUCUUCUUCUGCAGGUACAAGCAAAGGAGUUAAUAGACCAAGAUACCAGAAUAUGAAUAUGAAUAAAAUAUUUGAGAAACCAUUUACAGCAAAAACACAAAAAGACCACUUGUUUAUACCCCCACAAGUUAACACAUACCGAGAUAGCCUAAACCAAGACAAAAAAGUUUACAACUACACCGCCCAGAAAUACAUAGAAAAUAUAUACAGAGUACAAACCUUUCUAAACCAUAACCCCAGAGCUACAAACAUCAAAGAAACAAAUACCAAUUAUAUAACCCAAAAACUACAAGGAUACAAUAAAUUAAUCGCACUACCCAAAACUAACCCAAGCCUAGUUAAAACCUGUUUUGACUAUGGACUACUAAAUACCAUAUAUACCCAAGACGGAGAAGAGCUAACAGCUAUGGAGGAAUUAUACAAGAUAUUCACUACCUACAAAAGAAUAACAAAAGGAAAUUUAUUUUAUAUAAAGUGUUAUACUGCACCAGCAGAGAUAUUAUAUGAUGAAAUAAAACCAGUUAUACAAGUUGUAAAGAUAGGACUAACAAGAGAUAUGAUUAUACCAGAAGAUAUUUCGCAACAACCGGAGAUACCUAGAAUCGAGAUACCAGAUUUUUAUGCAAAUAAAAGACUUAUUGGACUAGCUACGAUCAUUCAAGAACUAGCAAAUAACUAUGCUAACGGAAACCCAAUAUGGAGCUACUAUUCAAGAGAUCAUCAAAUGAUAUAUUCAAAUUCAAAAGAGCUACGACAAGCAGAUAUGGAAGACGUAAGACAAUGGAUAAUGACGCUACUUAACCCAGAAAAACAAUCUACCGCGAGAGCAAUAAAAAAGGGAUUUAUUUCAGAAGGACUGCUAACAAGAUACUGUAAAAUAAUUGGACAUAAAUAUCCAGACCACCAAUGUUCGAGGUGCAAUGGAGAAGAUAAUAUUAUUCCAGAGGUACAUCUAGAAUAAAGAAGACAAAAUGCCAGCUGGAAAGAUAAGAUAAAGAGCAAUAAUGGAGCAGAUACAGAGCAAUAAUGGAACAGAUACGACAAAAUCAACGGAGACAAGACACUGUACAAAAANNNNNNNNNNNNNNNNNNNNNNNNNNNNNNNNNNNNNNNNNNNNNNNNNNNNNNNNNNNNNNNNNNNNNNNNNNNNNNNNNNNNNNNNNNNNNNNNNNNNNNNNNNNNNNNNNNNNNNNNNNNNNNNNNNGAAGAAUUAAUGGAAAAAACAUUAAUAAGAAAUUUAGCAUGUUGCAAAAAUAAAAUAGCAUUAUUAUACUAUUAUAUUUAUAAUAUUUAAAAUUAAAAAAUGCUAAUCUAAUAAAAUAAAACCUCAAAUUGGAAAAAAGUAAUCUAAAUUAGGCAUAAAUUUUCUUUGUAUUAAGAGGUUCUCUCCUAAGUUAAAGUAAGACGAAAAAAGGUCAAAUUGGCCCCCCGAAAAAAAGAAUCCUAAUUAGGCGUAAAAUUUUUCACUUAACUUUGCUUUGUAUUUAUACCAAAAUUAUUUCGUGAUGUAAAAGGAAAAAAAAUCCUCGAAUUAAUAGUUUUUGGAAGUUUGUAUAAUUCAGUCAAUAUAUAUAUAAAAUCUAUGCUGCAAUUUGAGAACUAACUGCAACUAUGGAUUUAAUAAUUUUUAAGAAACUACUUAACAGGUUUAAUUUUAUUAAUUUUGAUAUCUCUAUUACCAUAUUAUUUUAUUAUAGUUUACAGCUGGUAGAUGAAUGUCGGACAACUUUGAGUAAAUUUGCGUAAAGGUUAAUUUUUUUAUAUCUCUAUUAUCGUAUUAUUUUGUUGUUGUUUACAGGUGAUAGAUGAAUGUCAGUCGGCUUUGAUGAAAUUUUUAUGAAAAAAUUAGGUUCAGUUGUAUUGUUUUGAUAUCUCUAUUAUCGUAUUGUUUUAUUGUAGUUAUAUGUGGUAGAUGAAUCUCGAUUGGCUUUGAGGUUAGUGUAAAUAUUAAGUUUAUUUUGUGAUAUCUCUGUUAUCGUAUUUACGUGUGAUAAAUGAAUGUCGAUCGACUUUGAGGUUAGUGUAAAUAUUAAGUCUAAUUUUGUAAUAUCUUUGUUAUCAUAUUGUUUUUUUAGUGCAAAGGUCAGGUUUAAUUUUUAAGAUAUCGUAUCGUAUUAAGUUCAAUUUGUUUUGAUAUCUCUAUUAUCAUAUUAUUUUAUGAAAGUUUACAGGUGGUAGAUGAAUGUAGGUAAGCUUUGAGUUUUUUUUUUUUUGAUUAAAGUUAGGUUUAAUUAUAUUAUUUUGAUAUAUCUAUUAUCAUGUUGUUUUGUUAUACUUUAUAGGUGGUAGAUGAAUGUUGGUAGGCUUUGAAUAACUAAUAUAAUGUAUAUUAUUUUAUUUUAGUAUAAUAUGUAUAUUGUUUCUGUGAAAAAUCUUUAUUCAUUACUAAUACAUACAUGAAUAAUAAAAGAUAUUUUGAUGCCCUUGCUUUGAUUGGGAGUACUGAUAAUAAAUAUAGUUUUGAUGAGAAACUUGUUUAAAUUACAAUUUUCUUUACUAAUUUUGUGCUAACACAAUAUGAUAUCACUUUUCACUUUUUUUUUUUUUUCAACUUCUCACUUAUCAAUUUAUUGGUUGUUCCAUUCAUAGUGGUACUAUUUAUGUUGUUAAGAUGUUUAAAAUUGUCAUUUAUAAUUUUUCUUAAAUUUAAUAAUUUAAAAUUAAUUAAAUUUUUUCUUAUUUGAAUUAUAUUGAAACUCCUAAUAUGUAGCAUUUUGAAAUCAACUACUCCAGUAAAAAUAUUUCUUUCUGAAUGUUGUUUAAAAUUGUUAUUUACAAUUUUUUUUUUAGUAUUUAAUAAUUUAAAAUCAAUUGAAAUUUUAAUUAUUAUUAAAUUUUUCUUAUUUGAAUUAUGUUGAAACUCCUAAUAUGUAUCAAUUUGAAAUCAAAUAAUAAAGUAAAAGAAAAAAAUAUAUAUAUAUAUAUAUGAUGUGUUACAUGUGAACUCUUAUCAUAACAAGACAUUUUAUUUUUAAAUAGUUUGAUCUCUAUUAAAAUUUUACUUCAUGUUUUAUUUGUAGAAAAUAAUACAUCAUUGACACAAGCGAUAACCAACCAAAUGGAGCAUAUACUAUCAGAUUUAUUUAUUGGAUAAAUUAUACAAAUAUCAUACUUAAAAGGCUAUAUUACCUAAUAUCUCUUACUUUUUUAAAAUUUACAUAGUAUUUUUCAACUUUACUCUUGAUACAUAUCAAGAAAACCCCACAUCCUAUUUUUAUUCCACCAUUAACUCAUUCAAGAUUUUCUUCCCUAAAAUAUCUCCCUAAUUAUCAACAAUUAAAUCAUCUUUCUUUCUAAUUUUUUUUUAUUUUUUCUCUUCCAUUAAUACUUAAAUCAUCUUCCUUCCUGAUUUUUCUCUUCCAUUAAUCCAUGCAACUUUUUUUUCCUCUCCUAAAAUAUCUCCCAUUUUUUAAAAAAAAAUCUAUUGAGACAUAUAUAAAUUUAUUCAUAUAUGUUUAGUUUCUUAAUGGUGAUUCAUAUGAAUGGUAAAUAUAAUACCAUUAUAUGGGUAUUAUGGUGAUUCAUACGAUAGAUACAUUUUGUAUGAUUUUAAUGGGUGAUACAUAUUGUAUUAUGAUGAUUCAUAUGGUAAAUACAAUUAUUGGGUGAUUCAUAUGAUAUUAAUGGGUGAUAUAUAUGGUAUUAUGAUGAUUCAUAUGGUAGAUACAAUUAUUGGGUAAUUCGUAUAUAUGGUAUUAUGCUGAUUCAUAUGGUAGAUACAAUUAUUUAUUUCAAUUAUUGGAUGAUUCAUAUGAUAUUAAUGUGUGAUAUAUAUGGUAUUAUGGUGAUUUAUAUGGUAGAUACAAUUAUUUAUUUCAAUUAUUGGGUGAUUCAUAUGUUAUUAAUGAAAGGUAAUGGUGUAGUUACUGUAGGAAAUAAAAGUAAUAAUAUUUUAAAAAAAGAGACUAAAAGCGGAAUUAAAUCAUAAUUAAAAUUAAAUCUAAAACCGAAGACUAAAAUUAAAGACGAAAAAAGAGAAAAAAGACCCAAAAAAACAUAUCUUUCAUAAUUAAAAACAAAAAAAGAGAAAUGUAAUUAAAACAUCUAAAUUAAAUCUAAAAAAUGAGAAAAAUUAGACAUCUUUCCUUAAGUAAAAGAAUACAAUGAAUAAAAGAGAAUCUAUUAUUUCCUUAAAUAAAUGUCUUGUUAGUUUCAGAUGUAUCACUUUUUUAUAUGUAUCACCAUAUAACAUAUGCAUCACCAUUUUAAAAAAUUGGGAUAAAAUAUAAUUAACUAAAUAGUCGAAAUUUUAUGUAAUAUCACUUAAAAAUUCAAGGAUUUAUGUAAGUUACCCUUUAUUUAUUUUAUUGUCAAAAAACAAAUAAGAAUCCGUUGUAGUCUAGUUAGUUAGGAUAUUCGGCUCUCACCCGAGAGUCCUGGCAACCUUCCUCCAUCCCAUUUUAGUUGAUCAUUUUUCUAAAAAAAAAUAUUUCAUAUUAAUUGAUUACUUAUUAAAUUAGGAUAGAAUUAAUUGAUUUUUUUUUUAAUUUUACCUUUACAAUUAAUAGUAUACUAAUGUCCAUUCCUAUGUCCAAUGAAUAUUGUUAUAUGGGUAAAGAAUAAAAUGAUAAAAUUCAUCAUUCAAUUUAUGAUUCUUAAUUACCAUAUAAAAUAGAAUGUGCCCAACUAAAAUAAGACGGAGAGAGUAAUACAUUUUCUUCUUUUGCUACAUGGCCAAAAUUGUACUAGUAAUCUGGUGUAUGUUGUUAUUCACUUAUUUGAGAAAAUUGAAGGAAAGGUAUCUUUUAAGUCUUGAAUGGAGGAUUGGAGACAUUGGUCAACUUAAAGGGUCAAAUAUAAUUAGGAAACUUGAUUUAGUUAAUUGUGGACUUGAUUAAUAUUUUCAAAACUUUUUAAUCUUUUCAAAAAUAUAAAUCAACCCCCACCCCCACCUUUCCAAACCAACCGUCUCUUUUCUCUCUCUCGACAGUCUCUCUCAACUCUCUCCCAACCAACUGUUCUGCAAAAUUUCUCCCUUCAAUUUCCGACGACUUCAAGCUCCAGUGAAAAAUAGUUGGGCGAGUUACUUUUCAAUUUUCAACCGUUAAUCGACGUGAAAACCAGUGUUCUCCGGCCACAACAACUUCAAGUUUUUCAUCGUCUCAUUUCUUUUUUCACAGAUAAAAAUUAUGUCUUUUUAGUUAUGAAGAAACAGAGGAACUUGAGCCAACUUCUCUUCUAGUAUUGGCUAACAAUUUCAAUAUUUCUUUCUUAAAUUUGAAAUGUGGACUGAAUAAAAUCCUAAUUUUGGGCAUUUCAUCUCUACUCUUUCCAGUAUGAAAUAUAAUUUUUUUGUUGUUACUGUAGUUCUUGUUGUUGGACUAUCAAUUCAAUUUUGUUGGUAAUUUUUGGUCACUGUUGAUGUUCUUAGUGUGUGUGUUGUGUUGGUGUUGCUGGGUUGAUUUGUUAUUUUCUUAGUAAAAAUAAUGUUGCAAUAGAUGAACCAUCUGAUGUAACAAAUGAACCAUCUGAUGCAACAGAUGGAACAUUUGAUGCAACAGAUGGAAAUCUGAUGCAAUACAUAAAAAUUUGGUGCUACAAUAAAAUAUAAUGCAACAGAUGAACAAUCUAACACAUUAUUCAUCUGUUGUGAUAGAUGACUCUUCUGUUUGGAAGAAAUCUAAAUAAUAUUAAUCUAACAAAGAACUUAUUUGGAAACAGAUGAGUGAUCUGGUGCAAUAAAUGAGUGAUCUAUUUUUAUUAUUUUCAACGGAUUACUCACCCCUUGCAACAGGUUGGUUAUAGGUUGCAAGAGAUAUUUUACCUGGUGCAACAGAUGUUUGGUCUAUUUUUAUUGUUUCCAACGGAUUACUCAUCCACUACAACAAGUUAUUUAUAAACUACAACAGAUAACCUACCUAGUGCAACAGAUGAGUCAUCUAUUUUUACUAUUUCCAACAGAUUACUCAUCCGCUGCAGCAGGUUGUUUAUAAGCUACAAUAGAUAACCUACCUGGUACAACAGAUGAGAGAUCUAUUUUUAUUGCUUUCAACGAAUUACUCAUUUUCUGCAAUAGGUUGGUUAUAUGCUGCAAUAGAUAACCUACCUGGUGCAAUAGAUCUAUGACCUAUUUUUAUUAUUUCCAACGGAUUGAUCAUCCGCUACAACAGGUUGGUCAUAUACUGUAACAGAUAUUCUACUUGGUGCAACAGAUGUGUGGUCUGUUGGAACUAUUAUUUUACUGUUGUACAUGUUUGAUUUACUAUUAUCUUUUUUUGAUGCAUUAAUUAAUUAUAAUCUAUUUUAUGUUCCUGUGAAUUUUAGAUAAUAUGGCUUCAAAAAGAAAAAAAUUGAAUCAAGUCUAAGCAAAGGAACAAGUGAAAUAGGUAGUCUACAUCCACCACUCUAUGAGUUUGCUUUACUAGUAUUAUCUUAAUUAGGAGCAGAAUAUGAUGAACAUGGGGAAGAGGAAUAUUUUAAAAGAGAAGAUCAAAAUGCUAAUAGCUCUUCCACUAAAGAGUUGGUCAAAACCUUCAGCAUUGAUCGCUAUCCUGUGAGAAUGCAUUGUGAUGGUGCCAUAUAUUUAACAAGUGAUUUCGUGGUUAAGUCAACCAUGGAAAAAUCUUUCGACACCUUCAGAAAAAUACUUUGAUAAUAAGAAUUAAAUGCUUAUUUCAGGGACAACUACUUUAGGCAAUAUAUUGAUUUGACGAAGGACAACAAUGCUCAUUUCAAAAUAAAAAUGGUAUAUGAUCUUCUCAAGCGUAUGUUUAUGUAUGAAAAAAAGAUGGAUGAGGUUUGGAUAUAUUACUGUGGCAUGCUUUCUUGUUUUGGUUGGAAGGAGUUUACCAUAGUUAAUGGAUUAAAAUGUUAUCCUCCUUCUCCUUCUCAAAUUAUACCUACUCUAAUCCAAAAAGCACCCCGCACAUCCAAAAAAUGCAAAGGCAAGCCAAGUGGUCGUAAUGACCUGGUGUUCCUUAUUGGUCCAAGCUUCAAAAACAUAAAUUUGAUAGAAGCGUUGAAAGGUAAAAGACUUUCAAAGAAGCACAAGCACUCAUUUUGCUUGGUUUGGUUUGUACAUAAUGUUAUUUGGGCGAAAAACGUUAACAACAACAUACCACUUGGUUUGAUAAAGAUCUCCGAAGAUCUUGAGGCAUUUAAUAGUUAUCCUUGGGGUUAUGAAAGCAACAAAAUGACUGUCAAAUAUUUGUUGACUGCGUUAAUGCCAAGUACAGUCAGCUUAUAUGGCUUUCACGGUAAAUAUUUCUUUUAUCAUAAUAUGUUUCAUAUUUUGAAUUCAAUAAUGCUUUUGAUUUAUUAGCGUUAUUUUAUAGGCUUGCGCAUUUGAAGUCAUUCCCUAUUUGAGACAAUAAGUGAACUACCAGGAAAAAGUUUCCUGUCCAAGAAUCUGAUAUGAUUGUCAGCCAAAACUGAUAAAAUGCAAAAUUUCUUGAUCUCUUCAACCCCCCGAAGGAAGCAGUAAGUCUAAUUCUAAUUAAGUUUUUAUUUUAAUUAAUGAUUUUUUGAAAUGAUUUUAUCAUCAUUCUAAUAUAUGUAUUGAUUUAUUUUAGAUUGUCCAUUUGUGGAUUGUUCCGACCAAUCGAAAGUUGAAGAUGCCAAUUUUUCUUACUUUAGGGUCUGUGCAAACUUUAUCAAACCCUAAGGUCAUUGAUAGAAUAAAGGAGGAGUUGUUUGGAGCAACAACCAUCACAAAAAAAAAUAAUUUUGGAGGGUGGACUUUUUGUUGUUGAUGAUGAAGUGGUAGUGGUGCUUCUCUUACAGUUUUUGAAACAACAAACCAUUAUGAUUAUGCGCAUACUGGUUAUACAGAUUUUUCCACUUCUAGUGAAUGUUCUGCAUGCAAAUGUCAAGACUGCAGGCGAAACAUGAUGGAGUGAUUAAUGCCAUUAAUGCAUUAACUGCUUCUGUAGAGGAAAUGACAUCUAAGAAGGGUAUCAUUCCAUCAAAGAGGAUUUCAUAUCCAUACGCUCCACUAGAUAUCAAGGUGGCUAAAAGGAGAAGGAAAAAAAUUUUCAAGUUAUCAUCAAGCAUUGAAAAAAGUAAAAUUGCAACUUUUUUGUCCUUAUCUUGCACCUUUGAUCAAUGUACAUGGCCAUAGGAGAGCAACAUGAGCUAAAGAAGGUACAUGUACAUCAUUUCUUCAAACAAACAAAUAGACGCGUCUGUUUCAACAGAUUAUACAUCUGCUAAAAAUUAUCAAACAGAUAUAUACAUCUAUUGCAACUUUCAUAUAACCUGUUGCAUCAGAUGCGUUAUCUGUUGCAACAUAUGUCCGUCUGUUUUAGCAAAACAAACAGGUCUUAAUACUAUUUUAAUUUAUACUAACAGAUGAUUCAUAUGUUGCAACAGAUGGUCAUCUGUUCAAAAUUAUCUUACAACUCAGUUUUACCUAUUCGAGUUUGUCCCAACAGAUGAUCCAUCUAAUGCAACAGAUAAAUAAUCUGUUGUAUAUCUGUGAUUAGCAUUGAUAAUUCUAGCUUUCCAGGUUGAUGUCAUAGUAGAAGCUACUAUUGAAUAAUAUAAUAUCACAAUUGAUAAUCCAUCAACUGCUUCCAAAGAAGAAGAAAAAGUGGAGCCUGUCAGUUCGGGAGAACGGAAGAAUUACUCGUUUGAAGAGUUCAAUAUCUGAGACGAGGCUCUAAAAAACUAACAAAGUUGAUCAAUGACUAUUUGAAAUGGAUUGCCGAUGGGCUGUUAAAGCAUCACGCCGGCAGGUACAUAAAUCAUCUUUUAAAGAUAUUGAUCUAUACAAUUCUUGUUGUAAAAAUAUGACAUUAACACAUAUAAAUCAUGUAGAAAAAAAUGACAAACACUACAAAGUGAACGAAUUGAGUCUUGAUUUUGAUACAUUCGACUUUGUUGUUGCACAUCUCGGAAUGAAGGAUUGGUUCUAUUUGAUGUCACAACCCCAAACUUGCUGGAAUGAUGAGGUUUAAAUAUCAUACAUAUUACUAUAAUUAAUACUUUAUUUAAUUGCAUCUGUGUAUUAAUUUUACUGUCACGUAAUAUGAAAUGUUUAAUAAUAUGUACAGAACAUCUAUGUCAUUUCUUACUACCUUCAAAAAAAGGCCAAGUUACAAACAUAAGAACAAUACAUGUACACGACAAACAAUUGUUUGUACAAAGUUUACAUCAAUAAGGGCUACGAUAGGUUUUACCAACAACAACCAGAAUUUUUCUAAACUGAGAAAUGCUUAAUCAACAUCAUCAAAGUUUUUAGCAUUCCAACUGGCUUACCUUGACAUUUGGCCGACGAGUGUACAUCCCAAUCAAUUGUGGUGAUAAAUUCCAUUUGGUAUUGGCUGUCGUCAUUCUAAAAAAGAGGCGCAUCGGGUUUGUGACUCGAUGUCAGGAAGGAGACAUUCCGCACUGUUGUCGCAGAUAGAAAAUCUGGCUAAAAUAUUGCCUACUUACCUUGAUAUUAGUGGCUUUUUGGACCAAAAAUUUUGUACUAAUUGAUCAAUGAUUGAAGCAUACCGGGCUAAAAUGGGUAAUUCAUUUGAUGUAGAAUAUGUUGAAGGAAUUGCUCAACAACCCAUUGGUAGCCUGUAAGUAUCAUGAUUUAGUGUCAUGAUUUAGUUUCAUUUCAUAAAUUUCACAACGCUUACAUGAACGACAAGAUAUGGAUUAUCUAUUUUUUUUUAAAACGGACGGAUUGCGGUCUUUUUUUUUGCCGCUUGUGCCGAGUAUUUGAGCGAUGAAUUACAAGUACCAAAUAAUGGACUUGAUGUCGGAUUACUCCGCAAAAGAUAUGUUAUUUUUUAUGGAAAUACAGAGAAGCGAAAGCUCGAAACCGUACGCAAAUGACAUUAAAGAUCCACAACAAUCCAUAGCACCGGAUAAAGAACAACUUGUCCAUAUUGAGUAGAUCUUUAUAGAUUGAAUCUGUCAAAGUAAUAAACUCUCCUUGGUAAUUGUUGGCACCAAAGGUUAAAUUUUUGAUUUAUUUGUAGAGUAGAUCAUUUGUACCCAUAAUAAUUUUUUUACAUUUCAUUUAUUUGUUGAGUUAUUUCAUGUAAUUUCUGAAGGCUUCAUUUUAUUUAAUGUUGUCAGUGAAUAUAAUUUAAUCCUUAGUUUUGAACAUAUUAAUUGAAAUGGAAUACUAGAUUUAAAUAUCACAACAUAUAAUACAUAUAUUGCAAUAGAUAACAUAUAUAUUGGAAGUUAUCAAAUAAAUUUAGACAUAUAUUGCAAUAUGUAGGUCAUCUAUUAGAAAUUAUCAAACAGGUCUUCCUACUUUUUUGAUUUUUUUCAAUAGAUUACCUAUCAGUUGCAACAAAUAGACUAUAUGUUACAACAGAUUCUAUAUCUAUUGUGACAAAAACUGAGAGACAACUGCAUAAUGCAACAGAUGACCAACCUAUUGCAAUAUAUAGUCAAUCUAUCACAAUAGAUAUACUAUCUGUUACAACAGAUAGACAAUCUAUUAUAUUAUAAAAAAUCAAAUUUCGUCAAACAUACAAAAAUUGUUAUGGUGUUUGUCUUUGUACAUCUUCUUCUUUAUAAACAGGCUCUAAGCAUUUAGUUAGUACCCUAUAAUCCCAGACCUCUUGCGUCUUUGCCACAAUGGCAUCGCAUAGAUCGGAUAUUUCUGUCCAGGUCAGCAAACAUUCGAUGUAUUCAAGUGAGUAUGGGCCGCAUACGGUACCGAUUUUAUUUUUUGAAGUUGCAUGCCCUUGUUUAGACCUUUAAAAUCUCAUGAUUUCUUCAUCAAGACUUUCACUUUCAAAUGAUUCAUCAAUUUACUCUGCCUCAACAAGCUGGGGAGCAACUCCAACAGUGGCUGCACGUGGAUAAAAAAAAUGGUGUCGUUGAAGACUGGUAAGUUGUAGUCAUAAACCUUAAUCUUUCACUCUUCGAGAAGUAUCUCAACAGAAAUAAAAUAUUUGACUUCUAUGUUCAUAACUGCAAAAAUUCUCUUUUCCUUGGUCUAGCUCUUGCCAUGUGGAUAUGACCUCUUCCUUCUAGCAUUGUUAAUCAUAUAUUCCUCCCAUUUGUAUGUAGAAACUAACGUAUCAAACCUCGUGCCACUAGGAGUUAAAAUCUAGCUUACGGAGCCUAUUGUACCUAUUCUUGAAAUUAUUGUAGAAGUUGAGGUCCAUUAUCCUAUCGACAGCAUCAUAAGAUCAGGGUACGCUAAUUUUUUCCCCUCAUGAAGCAGAUAAUUUCAUUAAUAUACUCUGAUAUUAGAUGAUAAUUUUUAAAUAAGUUAGUAAUUAUCAAAAAGAAAAACAUAGUGGAAAGAUGCAACGGAUGGUCCAUCUGUUGCAGAGGGUUCUCUGAAUUAAUUCACAGAUUAUUCAUCCAACGCAACUUAUGCAACAAAUGUUUAAUCUAUUGCAAUAGAACAACCACCAGUUGCACCAGAAUACCCAGCUGUUGCAACAUACGGCACAUCUAUUACGUACUUCUUCUUCAUGGAGUUGAUUAGAAGGCUAGGUUAGGAAAAGUAAACUUACCAUAUCCACAUACCACUUACACAUAGUUGUCAUACUCCAACAAUCUUCGUAGUCAAAUGUAUGCAUGGUGUAUUUUUCUACAGGUUCCUUCUUCUUGGGAUACUUGGCAUUUCAUAGUUCCAUCCUCUCUUCAUUUCUAAGUGUCGCGCAUAUGUCCACCUUCUUCAGUGGCCCCAAAACCUUAACAACUUUUGGAGAGGAAAGAGUUUCAAUCUUUUUUGUUUUCAUACUGGAGAGUAUUUGUCUAAUUUUUCUUUUCUUCCUUCUAACCGUCACUGUAGGAGUGUAUGGCUCCAUCACCUUCUUGGAUGGUAUGACACCCCUCUUGGAUUUCAAUUCCUCGGCAGCUUCAAAGAUAACCUCAAGUUUUUUUAGAAGUUUAUCCUAUCUGUCAUUGCACACAAUGUAUUUGCAAUGUGAUCAUAAGGGUGGAGGGGGUGGGAGAGAUUACUAUAAGGGUGAAAAGGACUAGUGUAUGGGCAAGAGGGACCUGUGUAAGGGGUGAUUUCAAAUGUAUUUAUUUUUUUCUUAAGCAUCAACAUGCUCAUCAUCACGACUGGCAUCAGCAUCAACAUCAGGAUGGUUGCCACCAAUAUCAACAACUCUACAAGCAAAAUCCCCAGUAGAAGCACCCAAAUCUGUUGUAGUAGGUUGGUCAUGAAGAGCUUCAACAUUAGGCUGAACUUGCCUAACUGCUCUUCUUAUGGAUGUUGCUCCAGCCAAUUACUUCUUUAUUAACUCCACCAUUGGGUCUUCUAUUGUAUCAACAAGACCUAGAGUAAUAAAAUAAGUCAUCCCUGACUCCUACUCAGUAAGCAUGAUCUAAGGAUGCAUAACCUAUAAAAAGACAAAUACAUUUAAAUCAUAUAAUAAUAAUUUGCAGUCAGUUGGGUUACACGUUAACGUAGUCAACUUAUACAACAGAUGAUUUAUUUAUUGCAACAGCUGAUCUGUAUGUUGUAACAGAUUAACAAUAUAUUGCAUCAGAUUACUCAUUUAUUGCAUAAUUUGCAGUAGAUAAGUAAUAUCUUGAGUUGGGUUCAAAGAACCAGAGCAACAGAUGGUUAAUCUGUAGUGAAAUAUGGAUUGUAUAUCGCAAUAAAUUACCUAUCAAUUGCACCAUUUGUAGUAGAUGGGUAAUCUAUUUCAACGGAUGACUCAUCUAUCGCAACAGAUGGCACAUCUAUUUUAAUAUCUUUCUUUGAGUUAAAUUAUUUUACUUGAAAGAAGACGUAUUGAAUCAUCCGAAGGGUUAAAGAGAUCACCCUCCUUAAUUCUUGUGCUGCUCUUUGCAGCCAACCACUUAAAGAUCCUUAGAUGGGAAACCUCAUUUGGAUAAUCCUUGACCUGAUUUCGGAGGAGAGAAAUGGCUUCUAAUUCCCAAGCCUAAAAUAUGUAAACAGGAAGCAAGCAAAAAAAGUCAUAAUAAUUGUUCAAUAUAAAUUAAUGGAUGAGUAAACAAAUAGUGAUUAAAUUUAUCAUAAAAGCCCAAGGAAAGCAGUAUAAUGUGAUCGACUUUGGGGUACCUUUGUCAGUAAAUAUUUGACAAUCAAGUAGUAGCUAUCAUAUCACAAGGGAUAAUUGUUGAAUUUCUCAAAAUCAUUAGCAAGCUUCAACAAAUCACCUUCUAUGACUUUGUUGACGUCUCUUGCCAAUAUAACGGCAUGGGCAAACCAAACUAAGCACAAUUGCUCCCUGUACUACUUUGGUAUGGUUUUAUCCUUGAUAUCUUCUAUCAAAUUCACCGCUCUGUAGCUACGUCUAGCAAUGUCUAACAACCCAUCUAUUUUUUCUUUUUGUUUGUUCGUUUUGGUGGGUGGUUUCUUGGACAAUGCCUUUUGUCUAUUUGAUGGUGGUGGUUUGGCUGUCCUUCUUGCUUGGACAUUUUGAGGGUGUUUCCUUGAUGAGAGGUUCUUCUGGACGAUCGCAUCUCAAGUCUGUCACUAUGGCAAACUCUUUCAAGAAAAAACAAACCAACAUGCCACAGUAGUUGAUCCAAAUUUCAUCCAUUUUUUUCAUCCUCCUUUUAAUCUUUAUCAUCCCCUACGUACUUGAUCCUGUACUUGAGAAUACCAUAUACCAUGCUCAUUUGGAAACGAACAGUAUGGUCUGCAGGCAGCCGUAGAAAGUGUCUAAAGCAGCUCUUCUUAAAAGGUUUGUCUAUAUUUUCAUUCUUCAUAAUAUUCCUAAAUUCAUCAAAAGUUUCCUCAACAGACAUUUAAGUACAAGAUCACCUGUUAAUUUUGCAGGGUCAUCAAUCGACAUCGCAACUUGAAACCUAUCAAUACUAAUAGUUUCGACAGCCUCAUGCUGGAAUUUCGAUCUUAUUUCACGCCUCAUUGGUGAGGCAUUAUCAUCUUGUUUAUCUUUUUCUUCCUCCUCACUUUUAUUUUCCCACCAGCUCUAUAUACCAUUUUCCACCUCCCUUUUCAUAACUUUUCUCAGCCUCAUUUUUCCCUGACUGAGAUUGUUCAGGAAAUUCCUCUGAAUCCAUCUGUACUCUAGCUUUUUUUGUUGGGUGGUCAGAAGUUGAUCCACUUUCAGUUUUAUUCUUUUGGGAAACAUCUUUUAACUACAAAUAAUAGAAAAAAAUACAUUACAUUUUAUGCCUGCAUAAUCUUUUAAAAAAAGCUAAGACAAAUUUUAAUAAAAUAUUAUACACUACAAUAGAAAUAAAUACUCCAACAGAUAACCCAUCAGUUGGAAUGGAUAGGGAAUCUGUUUGAACACCUAUUUAAUAUCUCUCAACAGAUGUUUCACCUGUUGCAACAGAUGGACCACCAAUACCACUACUAAUGCCACCAAUACCCAUACCAAGGCAGCCAAAACCACCAACACCAUCACCAAGACCACCUACACCACCACCAAGACCACCAAUACUGACACCACCAACAACAGCCACCAACAACACCACAAACACCAUCCAACACUUUCGCGAUAAUCAAUGAAAUACUGAGAUAAAAACUAGGGUUUUCUCAGGUUCUUCCUACGUUUUUAGUAUCAAAACUCAAAAUUGUUAACCCAUCCUCGAAGAUAAUACAACUAAAAGUCUUAUUUUUUAUUAUUAACUAAAAUCCCUAAUUUUUAGAAAAAUAACAAAAUAUAGAAAUCUUCUCAAACUCUGUUACCUAUGAAGAUAAAUAAAGCAACGGAUACAAGCAAGAAUAGAGUAAAAAAUAACACCUCUGUGAUCGAAAAUGGGAAAAAAAUUGAUCUGUUGUGAAGGGUUGAGAAAUUUUUUGAGUAUUUGUUGACUAUAUUAUUGAGAGAGAGAAAACAACGAGAAAAUCAUGAUUUGAAAUUAUAAAACAUUUUUCCCCAAACAGAUGAUUUGUAUGGGCUAAUUUAUAUUUUGAAAAAGAAUGAUAAGUUUUAAAAAUGUUAAUUUGGUCCGAAUUGAUCUUAAUUAUUUUUUAAAAUUUUAAAAGAUAUGAAAUGUUUUAACUCAGAGUGAUCGAUCGACGACUCGGGUCGGGAGAAACGCAAUACCAACAUCAUGCAAUUGCAAAGACUCAAUUAAAGUUGCACUUCACCCUAUGUUCUCAUCAUUAGUUAUAUCUAAAUCAAUUUAGGUAUUAGCCCAAUAAUAAUUUAAUAUAAAAUAUUUCGACUCAGAGUGAACGAUCGAUGACUCGAGUCGGGAGGAAUGCAAUACCAAUAUCAUACAAUCGCAAAGACUCUAUUGAAGCUGUACUUCACCCUAUGUACUCAUCCCUAUUUAUAUCUAAAUCAAUUUAGGUAUUAGAUUACUAAUAAUUUAAUAUGACAUGUUUCAACUCAAAGAGAUCAAUCAACGACUCGUAUCGGGAGGAACGCAAUACCAACAUCAUGUAAAUGCAAAAACUCAAUUAAAGUUGUACUUCACCCUAUGUAAUCAUACCUAUUUCUAUCUAAAUAAAUUUAGGUAUUAUCUUAGUAAUAAUUUAAUAUAAAACAUUUCGACUCAGAGGGAUCAAUCAAUGACUCAGGUCGGGAGGAAUGCAAUACCAACAUCAUGCAAUCACCAAGACUUAAUUGAAGUUGAACUUCACCCUAUCUACUCAUCCCUAGUUCUAUAUAAAUCAAUUUAGGUAUUAUCUCAAUAAUAAGUUAAUACAAAAUGUUUCGACUUAGAGUAAUCGAUCGACUACUCGGGUCGGAAGUAACGCAAUACCAACAUCAUGCAAUUGCAAAGACUCAAUUGAAGUUGUACUUCCCCCUAUGUACUCAUACCUAGUUAUAUCUAAAUAAAUUUAGGUAUUAGAUCAAUAAUAAGUUAAUACAAAACUUUUCAACUCAGAGUGAUCGAUCGAUGACUCGGGUCGGGAGGAACGCAAUACCAAUAUCAUGUAAUCGCAAAGACUCAAUUGAAGUUGUACUUCACCCUAUGUAACAUCCUCAUUUCUAUCUAAAUUAAUUUACAUAUUAUAUCAAUAAUAAUUUAAUAGGAAACAGUUUGACUCAGAAUGAUCGAUCGACGACUCGGGUUGGAAGGAACGCAAUACCAAUAUCAUGCAAUCACAAAGACUUAAUUGAAGUUGUACUUUACUCUAUGUACUCAUCCCUAGUUCUAUCUAAAUAAAUCUAGGUAUUAGCUCAAUAAUAAUUUAAUACAAAAUGUUUCGACUCAGAGUGAUUGAUCAAUGAUUCGGGUUAGGAGGAACGUAAUACCAACAUCAUGUAAUCACAAAGACUCAAGUAAAGUUGUUCUUCAACCUAUGUACUCAUCCCUAAUUCUAUAUAAAUCAAUUUAGGUAUUAGCUCAAUAAUAAGUUAAUACAAAAUAUUUUGACUCAGAGUGAUCGAUCGAUGACUUGGAUCGGGAGAAACGCAAUAUCAAUAUCAUGCAAUCGCAAAGACUCAAUUGAAGUUGUACUUUACCAUAUUUACUCAUCCCUAGUUCUAUCAAGAAAUUUGUUGCAACAGUCGAUUGAGUUGUUGAAAAUUUUCAAACAGAUAUUUAUAUCUAUUGCAAUAGAUGACAUAUCUGAUUUAAUUAUCAAAUAGACAUUUGCAUCUGUUGUGACAGAAGACUGAGCUGUUGAAAAUUUUCAAACAGAUAUUGAUAUCUAUUGUAACAGAUGACAUAUUUGAUUUAAUUACCAAAUAGAUAUUUGCAUCUGUUGUGACAUAUGACUGAGCUGUUGGAAUUUUUCAAAUAGAUAUUGAUAUUUGUUGCAACAGAUGACAUAUCUAUUUGAAAAUCUUUUUUUCUUUUAAUUUUAAAGAAAUCUUCAUUGUGAAAAAAGAAAGAUAGAUAAAAUAGUACUACUAAAGACGAUAAAAAAUAUUUCUUGGAUAACUCAAAAAUCUCAUUAAGUAGUCUUAUCUUGUCUUUUUAAUGUCACCCAUCUUCCUCGUGCCCCUCAAGAUAUUAGCGAAUAUUAAUAAAUAUUUAAACCCAUGUCUAGAAUUAUCUCUCCUUCAGCCCUAAUUGUAUUCAUCUCUCAUCUUUUUCUUUCUCUCCUCUUUAGGGCUAUCACAACCGUCUCUUUUUUUCUCUCCUUUUUCUCAUAAAGAUCCUUUUGAAUAUAAAUCAAUCCAUAUCAUUCCUCGACUAAAAUUGCUAUUUUGAUCCCCUUAUUUUUGAUAUUGCAGGUAUGGUUCACUAUUACUCUUUCAUUCCCGUCUUCUUCUUUACAAGUUAUUUGAAUUUUUUUUAUAUAAUUACCAUUUACCCAUAUCAUAUUUAUUUUAAAAAUUUGAAGGAACUUUUAAUUCUUGAAUGAAUAAACUGUUAUUUUUAUUACAAUAUGCAAAAAAAGUCAUCUGUUGUGAGAAAUUUAAAAGCCUUGUUGGCAGUAUUAUUUUUUUGUAUGUAUUUUGUUUGUUUCUUUGUUAUUGAUGUUGCUGGUGGGGUAGAAACUUAUGGUGUGUUGUUGUUGGUGGUGUUGGAACAAAGGAUAUUGUUGAUGUUGUUGUUGAGGGUGUUGGAACAAAUGAUAUUGUUUCUUUGUUGUUGAUGUUGUUUCUUUGUAGUUUAUGUUGUUAUUGAUACUACAACAUAUGGAGCAACUGUAGGAACGAAUCAAACCACUAGCAAGGCUGAUUUGAUUUAUUCCAACAAACUCCGUAUCUGUUGCAACAAACUCUAUAUUUGUUGCAAGAGACUCCAUAUCUGUUGCAAUAGAUGGAUAAUGUUCUUUCUGUUCUUCUCUUAUUUCACAUUAAUUUUUUUCCUUUUCUUUGUAGAUAUAAGGAACUAAAAGUUAAUCAACUUUUGUCCAACCAACACAAAAGGCUAUAAUAAAGAUAGGUUCGGAGGAAUAAACUGCUUGCAGAUGAAACCACUUCAUAUGUGGAAGGUAUGUAUUACUGAUAAUGUUAUCGUGAAAACACAUAUAGAGUACACUGAUUUAAUGAAUGUUAUUUUUACCGAUUAAUCAUUGAUCAUUAAAUCAAUAUAUCUAUAAUUUUAUAGUUAAAUUUGAUAGGUCCGAGCGAAUAAGGCUAAGGGACCAUGAAUAUAGUUCUGAUACCCUGUUAAAAUUUAAUGUCGGUUGUUGCUCAUGUUUAUGUGUCAAGCAUUGUGAAGGGAUCAAGUUUUGGUGGCAUUGUAAAGAGAUUAGAUAGAGAUUGGACUAACUUUUAGGGUGCAUUGGAUUCUGAGAGGGCCUUCAAAGCCUCCCACUAGUUUAACCAAAAACAAAAAUCAAUAUAAUUAUUGCCCUAUCCAAAAGUUAUAUGGUUGGAUUGCUCAGGAUAAUGAUUAUGCGUUAAAAAGUGCAGUAGGAGAAAGCCUGCGAGGGAAAAUAUGUAUCAUCUGAGAGUAAAUUGAAGAGGAAACAUAGGAAAGAAAGGAACUUCUAGCGAAUCUGGCCAAUGAAACUUAAUUAAAACAUGAGAAAUCUGAAUCAAGUGUAAAUAUGAAAGUGUAUCCAGUAUUGAAAAUUCAUCUGUUAUUUCUUUGAAAGAAAAGUAAUCCAGAUGGACACUUUUCUAGGGAGCUGCAACUAGGUAGCGUGGUCGGGAUGAUCACCUAUAUAGAAAAUAGCAAAACACCAAGAAAGCAGCUUUAUAGGCACCAAGGGUUGAAAUUGAUAUACAGUAAGUUGAGAAAACUUGCACCGAUAACAACUGCAGUUAAAAUAAGGAAUCUAAGCUAAUGUGACAAUUUCUGAAUUUUAAAUUACAUUUCAUGCCUUCUUGUUUAUGGUUCCAUCUAAGUCAACUACUAUUGACCUGAUCGGAACCACAAACAAGAUUGCAAGGCAGAUUGAGUAUCAUUACUUCCUUAGUAAUAUGUAUAUAAUUGAAUGUGUUUUCUAGACUUAGCAUGCUUUCAAUAUAUCUUGGAUAAGAUCAUAAGCUUGUUUUAGUAUGUGGAUCCCGAUAAUUUUCAAGCUUGCCUCCAGCUUGCUGAUUCAGUAUUCAAGCAUGUCAUUGAAGUCUUUGAGGUUGGUAUAGAGUUCCUAAUCUUUUGUGAGCUAGUCAAUGAGGAAUACUUUCUUGGAAGUUAUGGCAUUGUAAAAGACCUUUAGAAGGCUUCCAGAACACUUUCUUCAGAAGGCUUAAAUGAUACAUGAAGGGUUCUCUAUGUUUGUUUUAGGUCAAAAUAUGUUGAUUCACACUCAAGCAGUGGUCCCAACAGUUGAACAACUCAAUUUUAUCGAGCAUUGUUCAAUGCAGCUUUCUCUAGAAACCUUCAAAGAAUUUGAUAGGUCAAUUACCCUGGAAUUAAGUAGCAUUUGAUCUAAACUGAUUUCGCUAAUCCUAUCAAACAUUAUGUAACUCUAGGUUCAUUACCCUAUCAAAACCUUUGCUUAAGUUAGUGCACAAAUCAAAUGAGCUUAAUCUCUUAGCUUUUCUAAUGGUUAAUCUUGUCCUCUAUGAGAGAAGAGUGAUCAGCAAAAAAGCUAAGAGAUUGAGCACGUUUGAUUUAUGUACUAACUCAGGCAAAGGUUUUGACAGGUUAAUGAGCCUGAAGUUACAUAAUGUUUGAUAGGAUUAGUGGAAUCAGUUUAGAUCAAAUGUUAUGUAAUUCCAGGUUAAUUAAUCAAUUAAAUUCUUUGAAGGUUUGUUAAGCAAGCUGCAUUGAACAACGCUCGAUAAAAGUGAGUUGUUCAACUAUUGGGACCACUACUUGAGUGUGCAGUAACAUAUUUUGACCUAAAACAAACAUAACAAACCUUCUAUGAAUUAUUUAGCCUACUGAAGAAAGUAUUCUGAAAGCCUUCUGAAGGUCUUUUACAAUGCAACAACUUUAAAGAAAGUGUUCCUUAUUGACAAGCUCACAAAAGACUAGGAAUUCUAUAAAGACCUUAAAUAUGGCAAUGACCAGCUUGAAUACUGAAUCAGCAAGUUUGAGGCAAGUUUGAAAAUUAUCGGGAUUCACAUACUACAGCAAGCCUCUGAUCUUCACUAAGAUAUGUAGAAAACAUGCUAAGGCAAAAAAACACAAUCAAUUAAUCCAUAUUGCUAAGAAAGUAAUGAUACUCAAUCUGUCUUUUAAUCUUGUUUGUGGUUCCUAUUAGGUCAAUAGGGGUGGACCUAAUCAAAACCUCAAACAAAAAGGCAUAGGAUGCAAUUUAAAAUUCAAAAAUUAUUGUCUUCGCUUAGAUUCCUUAUUUUAACUGUAGUUUUUACUGGCCUAAGUUUUCUUGACUUACUGUAUAUCAUUUCAACCCUCAGUGCCCAUAAAGCUGCUUUUUAGGUGAUAUGCUAUUUUUUAUUUAGGUGAUCAUCCCAACCACAAUACCUGGUUGCAGCUCCCUAGUAAAGUGUCCAUCUAUACUAUUUUUCUUUCAUAGAAACAACAAACGAAAUUUCAAUACUGGAUACACUUUCAUAUUUGCACUUGAUUCAGAUUUCUCAUAUUUUAAUUCAGUUUCAUCGGCCAGAUUUGCUAGAAAUUCUUUGCUACUGUAUGUUUUCUCUUCAAUUAGCUCUCAGAUGAUAUAGUCUUUCAUUAACUCCCUUUUUCCUCGUAGGCAUUCUCCUUCGGCUACUUCUGGCGUAUAAUCAUCUUCUUGAACAACCCUUCCAUAUAAAUUUGGGCCAGGGGAAUUGUAACACCCUAAUUUUCUGAACUGGAAUGUUACACGGUACUUAUGACCCCGAAGGACCACAAGCUAACCCAUCACUGAUAACUGUACAUGUACACUGCAUAAUAUACAUGUAAAAUGCGGAAAACAUGAACAAUAGGCCAUAAAGUUCAACUGAAUAAAAUAUCUGGCAAAUCAUAACAUCCAUAUAGGGUAACAACUACCCAAAAUAACUGAAGUCUGAAAUAAAUUUAAAAUAAAUCUGAAAGCCUCUAAAUACUGUUUGAGUAAGGACUUGAAGGAACAUAUCUCUAACUAACUCCAUAAAUUGAAAGAUAACCGAAGAAAAUAAAUAAAGUUAAAUCAUAUCAUCCUCGAAUGAAGAAAACUCACUGCAACUCUGUAUACUAAAAUAUGAUUGCUACUGCUAAUCUGGAACUCGUGGUUCUGAACCUAUGGUGUAACAUUAACAUCUACAGUAAAGAAAGGCCUUCGAGGUAUAGAUCAUUAGGGAGAGUUAGAGUUUAAGUAUAUGGUGAUGUCUCUUUUAUAUUGAGAUUUGUGACUUUGAUCUAAGGGGGAGAUGAGGAACUAGGUUAGUUCCUGAAAUUUUCUCAGUGGCUAGUUGGGGAAGAGUCAUGAUGAACCUACUCCUAUUCAAGCAUAUUCCUCCUACUUCAAUCUAAGAGGUCACUCUGUUAAUGCCUUACGUUAUGUAUCCAAGUCCUAGCUAUGUCUAAGGUUUGAGUACUCGAUGUAAUUCAUGACAUGUCCUGACUUCCAAACUAGAAAAAAUAAUGUCCCUCGGUGAUCCAAUAUUCUAAGCAUCUAAGCUCUAUAUGACGUUGCUCAUGACUAAUAAAUCUGUGUCCUAAAUCAUGAUUGGUUCAAAGGAACUAUGUUUUUUGUAUGUUGACGAUUCAUUUUAUGUCGGGAUUUGCCAAAAUAAUAAAGUUGUACGAACUCAUAACUAAUUCAGUUUUGAAAAUGGGAAGCGAUAGCUCCAAGUAGAAGUCCUUGCCAAAAUCAUCGACUUCAUGAACUCCAUACUCAUGUUAUAAGACUCAUGAUGUAAGCUCUCAUGUUUCUCACUGUGGUUGUCCUAAGAACUCGUGCUAUGUUGAAAUUAUACCAAAACGACUGUUCACUUGUGAUCCAAAUACUUUAUAUAUGAAAUACUCUGUGCUUGUACCGUAUCUUCAACUCAUGUCCCACCUUGAGUAUGGAAAUCAGUAUAUGUUAUAACCGAAUAAUGUUACUCCAUUUCAUGAUGCUCUUUCUCAGGUCUUUUAAUGACCCUUUGUAUGCUAGUAUAAUGGUGGUUGUGGAAGCGUAGAAGUGUGUUAGGUGGGGGCGUAGAUGUUCUUGAAGGUGAAGAUUUGGAUGUGGUUGUCGAGCUAAGCUUAUAGCUGAAGGGAAAAGAAGGAGAUGAACUUUGGUUGUGUGAAAUAGCUACGAAGGAGAAAUGUUGCGGAAAUAGUUUUGAGAGUAAUUGAAAUUGAUGGUCUUAGUAGGGAGAUCCAUGUAGUGGUUGUAGUAAUGAUUAAGCUUGAAUGUUCUGAAUGAUGAAAACACAAACCUAUGUUCCAUGUGGUUUGUAUUCUUUGAAUUAAGACUUGAGAUUGUUGGAUUACAGUGAUGAGGUGAGGUGAUUUCUUAAUGUGAUGUAGGGUGUAGGGCCUCGUAGUUUAAGUUAGCCCCUUUUUCCUCUGAGUUAGUCUUGAACAUAGAAGUAUUAUACUGAGGGACACAAAUUCUUAUGGUUAGAUGUGUUACGGGAGAAUUGUAAGUUAGGAAUGAUGAAGUAUGUUGAUUAAUGUCGGAUUAUAGAUAAUAAGUGUUGCUAAUUUUAAGUCUUUUCGUUGUAUUUUGUAAGAUGGAGAAUGCUAAUACUCUUGUGUUCUGCGAGAAGCUUAUCUCAUGUCUUGUACUAAUCUUAAUCAGGCUGAUGACUCAUAGAAAAAGUUAUGUUUUGCAAUGUUUUGAUCAUGUGCCAUAAAACACAUGCCAAUAUCAUGUCGAUGUCAAGUUUCAUAGUCUCAGGUUACGUGCUUACUAGUUUUCCUAGGGGUUAUCAUGAAGAUCGUGUGAUGCCUUUGCAUAUUUUUGUUGAGGAAAAAUGUUCAAAUCAAUGUUAUGUUCUUUAUUCUACACUCUUAGAGCUUCAAAAGGUCUCUACCCAUCAUUCGGGGAUGAAUGAUUCCAAGGGGGAGAUAAUGUAACACCCCGUACUUUCGGGCUUGAAUCUAGACCGUCAUUCCUAUGCAUAUAGACCCGAACUAGAUAAUUUCUCUUUAAUAUAUGUGUGGUUAUCAAUCCUAUAGUGUGGUAAUACCUUUGAAUAUGAAUUGAGGUCAUAAAAAUACCCUAACUCUAAGAUGAGUUGAAAAUAUUUCUAGCGAUUAAGUUUCAAUGGACGUUUAAACUUGGGUUAACUUCUAUCGACCAUAACAUAUUGUAAAACAUUUACUAUGUGACAUAUUUAUGAACCAUUUUUAAAUUGCUCUCAUAUAUGUUGAAUAUCAAAUAUUAUUUUGGGUUUGCUCUGCAUACCAAUACAACUGUAUUGACCCCCUACCUCUCAGGGUCUGAGGCUCAAUCUAGCGGUCCAGCUAAGCAGUAGAUCUUUCCAGAUAGAAGUGCAGAGCUCAGUUGGUGAGCCUUCUAUGUUUCAGAAGGCCUAUUUAAAUUUCAGACAUUUAUUUAUGGUUUUGGUCUAUUGGGGUCCUUGUCCCAGUUUUCAGACUAUUAUUUUAGAUGUUGUUGAAUUGCAGUCUUUAGCAUUUUGUUGAUUUUAGAGCAUGACCAUGAUCCAUAUUCAGUUAUAUUUCCACGUUUCUUUUCUGAAUAUGAAUGGUGUAUGUGAUUACAAGUUAGAUGGGGGUCUGGGCCUUCGUGGUUCGGAUUGUUCGUCAUGGACAGGGCCUCGGUUUGGAUCGUGACAACCAGAAAUUCUAUAAUGACCUCAAAGAUGGCAACGACCAGCUUGAAUACUGAAUCAGCAAGUUUGAGGCAAGCUUGAAAAUUAUCGGGAUGCACAUACUACAACAAGCCUCUGAUCUUCUCCAAGAUAUGUUGAAAACAUUAUAAGGAAAGAAAUCACAAUCAAUUAAUCCAUAUUGCUAAGGAAGUAAUGACACUCAAUCUACCUUUCAAUCUUGUUUGUGGUUCCAAUCAGGUCAAUAGCAGUGGACCUAAUCGAAACCACAAACAAGAAGGCAUGGGAUGCAAUUUAAAAUUCAAAAAUUAUUGUCUUCGCUUAGAUUCCUUAUUUUAACUACAGUCGUUAUUGGCGUAAGUUUUGUCGACUUACUGUAUAUCAUUUCAACCCUCGGUGCCCAUAAAGCUGCUUUUUUGGUGAUCUGCUAUUUUCUAUGUAGGUGAUCAUCCAGACCACACUACCUAGUCGCAGUUCCCUAGCAAAGUGUCCAUCUGCAUUAUUUUUCUUUCAGAGAAACAACAAAUGAAUUUUCAAUACUGGAUACACUUUCAUAUUUGCACUUAAUUAAGAUUUCUCAUGUUUUAAUUUAGUUUCAAUGGCCAGAUUCGCUAGAAGUUCCUUUCUACUCUGUGUUUCCUCUUCAAUUAGCUCUUAGAUGAUAUAGUCUUUCAUCAACUCCCCUUUCCGUCGUAGGCAUUCUCCUUCGGCUUCUUCUGGCAUAUAAUCAUCUUCUCGAAUAACUCUUCUAAAUAAAUUUGGGCCAGGGGAAUUUCUAUUGUUUUUCGUUCUUGUUUGAUGCAGUGCGAGGCUUUGAAGUCCCUUUCAGAGCUCAAAACACACAUAAAGUUAAGUCCAAUCGCUAUUGGAUCUCUGCAAUGAUACUAAAUAUUGAUCUCUUCUCAAAACUUGACAUGCAUAAACAUGAGCAACAACCUUCAAUAAUUCGUAACAGGAUAUCAGCACCAUCUUCAUGGGGCCCUCGACCUUAUUAAUUCAAACCUAUCAAACUUAACUGUACUAUGCUGGAUCUUGUUUGAAUGAUCAGUGCCUAAUUGGUUAAAAAUUCCAUUCACAAAAAUAUUUUACUUUGUGUGUGUUGUCCCAAUGACCUUAUCAGUAAUACUUAACUCCCACACAUGAAAGUGGAUCCAUCCAUUUGCAUGCACCUUAUUCUUCCUAGCCCAUCUAUGGCUCAAAUUGAAUAAACAGAUGACUAACCUGUUGCAACAGAUGCCACAUCUGUUUAAAUUAACAAAUAAUUAUAAACAUCUGUUAUGACAGAUGAUCAAUCUAUUGCAACAUAUGACUUAUCUGUUGGAAAAUCAAACAAAUAUACCUAUCAGUUGUAGCAGAUUGUCAAUAUGUUGUAAAUUAUCUAACAGAUGGAAUAUAUUUUGCAACAAAUUUCCCAUCUGUUCGAUUUAUUUUAAAGCAAUUUUUUUUUUUCGAAAUACAAUAAAGAUAAAAUAUUAUAUUUAGAUCCAUUUAUUUAAUUUACAUAAGCUUUAAAAGUCACCAGUUUUAUUUAAAAAGAGGUGAACAAUCUUGGCUAUUUGACUAACCCAUUAGAAUUCAAUCUUUUAUAAAUAGGUACCUCCUUACUUGUUCAUUCUACUCCACUUCUAGAUAUGGAUGAUCCAGAUUUGUACAAGGUGAUUCAUCUCGAGUCGUUGCGGGAACUUAAAAGGUAGAUUUAUGAACUAUGGAGGGAGUUAGGCGACUUCAGAGCAAGGCUGAGGAGGACCCUGCUACUCCCGGAUGACGAUUAGCCAGUUGACAAUAAUGCUAAUACUAAUACUAAUAAUAAUAGUAGUAUUAAUAAUAAUUAGGUUAAUAUUUUUUUUACAGUAUGUAUUUUCUUUUUUUAUAUUGGAUCUACCCAAGGGUAUGGUUUUUAAUUGUAUAUAUUUGUAUAUAAUGGAUUCAAAAAUCUAUGUUUGGUCGACUUUAUAUUUUUAAUUCUUAUUUAAUAUUUAAUUAUCAUUCUGUUUCUAUUCCUUAUUCUCAAUAUGUCGACGGCUGGAGGUAGAGAUUGAGCGUUUGUAGAAACCGAUGAACCAUAUGUUGCAACAGAGGGUCAAUUUGCAAUGACAGAUGAAUUAUAUGUUGCAACAGGCGGUUAUUAAUAAAAAAGGGUUAUUGUUACUGAGAGGGUGAAAAGCCAUGACUUUUCGAUUAUUUAAUAUGAAAAAUGGUUCGUAAAUAAAUAAUAAGGAUAUAAAUGAUAAACAAAAUUUAUAACCGUAAAAGAAUGGUUAUUUAAUUUUAAUGAUUGAUCAUGACUUUUCACCAUUUUUAUUUUUAAAUCUGUUUUUUAAAUUAUUUAUUAUAGAGAAAAGACACAUUUUUUCCCCUGAACUUGUCCUUCAAACUCACUUUAGCACUCAAAAUUAACUUCCGUUUAUUCAUCCCCCUUAACAUCUUUAAAGUGUAUUAAUUUCACCCUUCGAAACUGAAUACCACUCUCACAACGGAGAGUGUGCACUCACGCCAAUAAAUUAGCGUCACGUCACUGCCACGUCGGAGCCACGCAAGAAAAGUAUUUUUUAAAAAUAAUUUCAUAUAUAUAUAACAUUCUUCUUCCUUUGGGUUUUAUAUUCUUUGUAUUUUCAUCAGGGUUUAUCAUAUAUACCCUAUCUCUUGGUAAAUUACCUGUACUCAUUUGUACUCGUAAUGGUGGAUACAAGAUUAAACUAGUAAAAUUCAUACCAAUCAAACUCAAAAUUCAAGUACAACUUCACAUCAUCAUCGGAAAACCCCAAUAAUCAAUUUGAAUAUCAACCAUGAAUUUGACACUCAUUUUCUUUUUGUCUUCAAGCUUUUUCAAGCUUCAACAAUGGUGGAUACAAAAUUAAACAAGAAAAAUCCAUACCAAUCAAACUCAAAAUUCAAGUACAACUUCACAUCAUCAUCGGAAAACCCCAAUAAUCAAUUUGAAUAUCAACCAUGAAUUUGACACUCAUUUUCUUUUUGUCUUCAAGCUUUUUCGAGGUUCAAUAAUGGUGGAUACAAAAGGCAAUCUGAUAAAUCCAACAACAGAUUUCUUGAAAAUUCACAUAAGUAAUUUAGUUCAACAAUCAUGUAUUGAAAGACUUUCUUUUCCAAAAUUAUUUUCUAACCCAUUAAAAUUCAUAACUUUUCNNNNNNNNNNNNNNNNNNNNNNNNNNNNNNNNNNNNNNNNNNNNNNNNNNNNNNNNNNNNNNNNNNNNNNNNNNNNNNNNNNNNNNNNNNNNNNNNNNNNNNNNNNNNNNNNNNNNNNNNNNNNNNNNNNNGUGAGUCUUUCUCUCUCUCUCUCUCUCUCUCUCUCUCUAUAUAUAUAUAUAUAUAUAUAUAUAUAUAUAUAUAUAUAUAUAAAAUUAAAAAAAGUGGGACCAUAUCAGUUUAUUAAUAGAAAACGUGCUUUUUUUUGCUUUUUUUUUAAAUUCCACGUCAGGUUGAGGGGUGAAAUUAAUACGCUUUAAAGAUGUUAAGGGGGGUAAAUAAAUGGAAGUUAAGUUUAAGUGCUAAAGUGAGUUUGGAAGACAAGUUCAGGGGGUAAAACAUGUCUUUUCUCUUUAUUAUAUAAUAAAAAAGUCACAACAUUGGAUUAAUUAAGAUAUAUGAUGAUGUUAAAUAAAAGGUGAACAAUCGUGACUUUUUAUCUCUAAAACAUUCAAUGUUGCUGAUGCAUAAAAUUCUCCAUCUGUUGCGACUGAUGAAUCAGUUGUUAGAAGAAUUCAAAAAAGCUCUUAAAAUAGAUGGUCGAUUUAUUGCAACAGAUGGUAUAUCUGUUGCCACAGAUGGGUUAUCUGAUGCAAUAGAUAUACAAUCUGUUGCCAAAACUCAAUAAAAAUGGUUAUUAUUUUAUUAAAAAAAUGGUUAUUAAAAAUGUGUCUUCAACUUUUAAAUUGAGAAAAAGGUUAUUUAAAUUUAAUAACUAAUUAAUAAUAAUAAGAUAAAAAAAAACAUGACUUGUCACAAUAAUAAAAAACUUACUAGCUUGAUUUAAUUAAGUCCUUUAUUUUUUCAGAAAAUAAGGAAAUAAAUGAUUACCAAAAUUUAUAGUCGUAAAAAACUAGUUAUUUAAUUUAAAUAAUUGAUAUUAAUAUUAAAUAGGCGGCAAGUAGUGUGACUUUUCGCCCAUUUUGUUUUUAAAUCUAUUUUUUUAAUUUAUGUAAUAAAAAGUCACCAAAUUUAGAUUAAUGAUAUGAUGAUUAUUAAAAAAAAGAUAGAUUAUAUGUUGCAACAGAUAGAUUAUCUAAUGCAACAAAUUAUCCAUUGUUGCAAUAGAUGAUAUAUCUAUUGUGACAAAUGGGUUAUUUGAUGCAACAGAUAUAGAAUCUGUUGUCACAAUUCAAUAAAAAUGGUUAUUGUAAAGAACUAAUUAAUAAUAAUAAGCUGAAAAGUCAUGAUUUAUCACAACUUGAUUUAAUUAAGUCAUAACUUUUCAUAGUAAUCAAAAUAUAUAAUUAAUAAAUGGAGGUGAACAGUCGCACUUUUUUGCCUAACUCAUUCAAAUUCAAUUCUCUAUAAAUAGGUCUCUCCUUACUUACUCGUUCAUUCUACUACACCAUUUAUUUCUUAGAUCUUGUCUUUCAUAUUACAUCUUCAACCACUUUCUCUUUCCUGACUCAGGUAGGUUUUUUCUUGCUUUGUGUGUAAAUAUACCCAAUUUGUAGUAUGCGUUGUAUUACAUUUGGAUUCUUUUGUUUACUUUUGUUUUUACAUUUUUUGUCAAUUCAUGUGUUCUCUAGAUAUGGCAGAUCCAGUGUGGGACGUUACUUUUUUGUAAGACGUCGUGAAUAAACUUCGGAGGCAGGUUCAUGACCUAUAGUGGGAGUUGGGAGCAGUGAGAGUAAGGAUGCUCCGGGAGAUCCGCAGGCUGAGGAGGGCCCUGCUGCUACCAGUUGAAUAUUGGCCGGCUGAUAAUAAUAAUAAUAAUAAUAAUAAUAAUAAUANNNNNNNNNNNNNNNNNNNNNNNNNNNNNNNNNNNNNNNNNNNNNNNNNNNNNNNNNNAUAAUAAUAAUAAUUAGAUUUUUUUUCUUUUAGUCUAUGUAUUUUUAUUUGUUUUUGUUUGAUAAAAAAAUUUAUGUUUGAUUGUCUUUGACUUUUUAAUUCUUAUUUAAUUUUCAUUAAGUCUUUCUUUCUUCUUCUCAUCAAACAUGUUGAUGAUUAAGGAAUAAUUUGAAUCUAGUAGCAAUAGAUUAUAUGUUAUCUGUUACAACGAAUAGAUUAUCUAUUGCAACAGAUAGAUUAUCUGUUACAACAGAUAGAUUAUCUGUUAUACAGAUGGUUUAAUUGAGAAAAAAAUUAUUUAAAUUUAAGAACUAAUUAAUAAUAACAAUCUAAAAAGUUGUGACUUAUCACAAUAAUCAAAAAGUCAUUCAGCAGCUUUGAUUUAAUUAAGUCAUUAACUUUUCACUGUAAUCAAAAAGUCACUAGUUUGAAUGUAAUUAAUAAAUAAAGGUGAACAGUCGUGCCUUUGUUCCAAACAGAUUAUUCAUCUGCAACAGAUAAGUAGCCUAUUGCAACAGAUAAGUAGUCUGUUGCAACAGAUAAUAAAUCUGAUGCAACAGAUAAUAAGUCUGUUGCAACAGAUUACCCAUCUGUUUGAUUCAUGUUACGAACUCUACAGAAUCAUAAACAUGAAUUCAACAUAUGAGUCUUCCAUUGCAACAGAUUACUCAUCUGAUGCAACAGAUAAGUGAUUUAUUUAAAUUGUGGGCUCUUAUGUUGGAUUCAUGAUCGGGUUUUAUCCAUUGUUGAAAAAACAAAAGUAGUUGUGUACACAAAUGACAAAUUCGACUAAAAAUAAAAAAUUUACUUACCAAAAUCACCUAUGAAGUAAUGUCGAAGUGGAAAGUGAUGUACGAAAUAAAAUUUCACCUAAAAAAUAGAUCAAGUAGCAGCAGUAAUGGUAAAAACAACAACAAUUGUCGACAAGAAGAAGAUGAAGAUGACAAUAAAGUAGAAGAUGAUGAUAAUGAAGCAGAAGAUAUGAAUAGAGUAGUAGCAACAAUGAACAACAAAAAUCGUGAAGAGAGAAAAAACAACAAUGGAUGAGAAGAGAGAGAAACACACUCUUUUUUUCCUCUGUUUUCUGUUUUAUUAACUAACAUUUGGAUCAACGUGUAAAUUCAAAAACUUGUGGGUUAUUUUCAAACUUCCUCAACUUUCUUAAUUUAUAAUAAAGUAAUUGUCAUCUACACUCAAUUAUUAAGACUUGAUUCACCUACACCACAUUUUCAAAAAAUUUUGUCACUUUUAGCUCAAAGCCCCCACUUAUUUAAUGCUACUUGAAGAUAAAAAAUUAGUUGUGGAUUAAAUGCAUCAAACUAUGAAGUUUGAAAGAAGAUAAUAUUUGAUUUUAAGUAUAAAAUUAUAUUGAAAAAUUGGUGUUGCAUUUGGAUAUGAAUAUAAAUCAAAGUUAUUUUUUAAUUUUAAAAAUCGAAAUAAUUUUAUGUCCACAUAAUAUUUGAGAAACCAUUACUAUUCAUAUUUUUUUUUUAGGUAACCAGCAAUUUAUUAUCUAUAGUAUCCAUUUUAUGUUCAUUUUAUCAGAGUGAAAGGUAAGAUCUAGAGAAUAAUUAUAAAAUCAAUUAUCCCAUAUUAUAGUGAACUAGUAUUCGUAUCCGCGCGAUGCGCAAUCUAUAUUUUUAAAAGUAAUUUUAGAUUAUCUUGAUUGUUUGAAAAUAUGAAAUCAUAUAAAUUUAUGUAAUUCAUAUACAAAAUUACAAACAACUCUAAUCUGUAACACAAAAUAAAAAAUAGAUAAGAAUACAUUCUAUGAGAUUAUAUAUAUUUGAUAAUCUCUCUAGAAAAAUUUCUUUAAAUAUUUGUUGUUUUUCCGGUAUAGAUAUUGUAGGCUUACUCAUUCAAUUUUUGUUGUUGCUCUUGAACUUCCACUUCUCACUCUUCCACAAUGAUCUUAUUCUAUAUUAACUAAGGCCAUCUUAUCAAACUCUGAAGAAAUUUUGUUCAAUUUCUUUAUGUUUACCAUCUUUUGCUACUACAUCAAUUAAUAAUACUAUCCCCAUCAUUUAGUGCUUCAUGUAAUGGUUGAAAGAAAAAAUAUUUUUGUGAGAGAAAAUGUUGUAUCUAAAGCAAAAACAGAUACGUCUUGAAUUGGUGAUCUCGUGUUUAAAAGUAAAAUAUCACAAUGAAUUUCAACAUCUGGAAGAAGUUUCACAAUUGGACUCCCUUUUGCAAUGUUAGAAUAUUAGUAACUUAACAUUCCCAUUAAGGAAAGCUGAGUAUUUGUCCAAAUUAUUGGCGUUCACUUGGUAACAACUCAUUUAUGUUAAAAAUAGAACUAAUCAACAAAUUAUAACAUUACAUUAUUAAAAUAUCAAUAGAAUAUAUUAUCGUAGAUUCAUAUAAAGUUAUUUUCAGUCCCCUAUCACAUCAAUUAGAAUUUAUUUAAAAUGGAUAAAUAGCAUGCACUAUAUUACAAUUGAAGUCUCUUGCACUAAUCUGAUUUACUUCCACUUGCACGUACUUAGAACUACAAACGCUAGGUAUUGCGACUCCAAAUAUCUAAUCAACUUUAUUAAAACAUUAUGUUUUAAAUAUGUAAAACUCACACCUAUAUAAAUCAUACAAUACAUCUAUAAAGUAAAAUUUAACUCCAUUUAAUAAUCUAGAAAUUUAGAACCAAUAGUGACUACAUAUAUUAUCGAGUUACUGUUUGACUCCGUUAAGAUUAAGGACGUGAGACUUAUAAUUUUGUAAAACGUAUGUACUUCUUUUAUCAAAAUGUAGCAAAAGAGCACUUCAAAUAUCCUUUUUGUUUUGUGAUAAUUAUAAUAAGUAUUAUCUUCAUAUGAUAAAGAAGCUAAAAAUUAUUUUUUUACCAAUCGAUUCUGAAAUUGUUGUCUAUAACCCUAUGGUAUACCUAAAAUCAUAUUGACAAUUUUUUUGGCUAGCUUCUGUGCAUUAAAGACAUACAGAUUGCAUCCCAUUCACCUUCUUUUACUUUAUUUUAUAGAUCAUGUCACAUUUAUCCAAACAAAUAAUAUCAAUGUUAGAACAAUUGGCGAUCCCAUGCGAUUUUUUUUCUUUUUAGCUCUAGUGUAAUCAAAGACGUCGUCAUACUUCAUGCGCGGAUAUGGGCGAGUUUUAAAAGAGAAUCAAAUAGCCGGUUUAUGUGUAACCCAUACAAAUAAAAUACAGAUUAGAAAAGAUAAUCAAAUUUCGAAUAAAAAAAUAAAUAAAUAAAUAAAUAAAGCAAGAAAAUUUAGUGUAGUGCAUAAACAAAGAAACCAAAAUAUCUCAACAAAAUACAUACUCCCUCCGCUUAAAAAAGAAUGACUUAGUUUGACUUGGCACAGAAUUUAAGAAAAUAAAGAAGACUUUUAAAUCUUGUGGUGUUAAAUUGAAGAUAUGUUAAACGUACCAAAAUAUCCUUCAAUCUUGUGGUCUUAAACAUGCCACGUGGAAAGUUAAAAUUAAAAAAUUGUUAAAAAGGGAAAGGUAUCAUUCUUUUUUAAACGGAUUAAAAAGGAAAAUAGCUCAUUCUUUCUGAAACGGAGGGAGUAAUAUUAAGAUAUCAUAUACAUAAGAAAAUAAAAUAGAUUAACAAAUAGAUAUGAUGUAAUAAAUCGUCAGAAAAUACUGUUAUAUUAUUCCUCUUUCCUUUCCAAACCUUCUCAUUCAUAAUUCCUAAAAUAACAACAAUAAUUUCAAAAUUAUUAUAAUCUUUCAAUAAUAUCACACAAAUUCAUACUGUUCUUUUAUCACUACUCCAUUUCAAUUAAUUUUACUUGAUAGAACCUAAGAAUUUCAUUUAUCAAAUUAAUGCUUAAAAGAUAAAGUGUACAAAUACAUGUAAAUAAUAAUUUGAGUAAUGAAAUAUUUACAUGUAAACUGUACAAAAACAUAUAAACGUAUAGCUUGUAAAAUCUAUGUGGUUGAAACACUACUCUAAUAGGUGUAUAUUGAGAAUUUUCUUCCUUGGUAUGGAAUUGAAGAUAAGAGAUUAAGAUUUAGAUUCAAAAUCUAUUAGAGAAAAAAUUAAAUUGUUACCUGGAAGACGUAAAGUUGCCGAAUAAAUUGCCAAGUAAAUUCAUUAGAUUCGUAUGCAACAAUAAAUUUAUGACCACAGCUCUUAUUCAAAGAUAUUUGAUAAUCACAUUUAAUCCAAAUUUAUGAACAUAAAAAUGGUUGGAAGUAAUUAUAUAGCUAAGUAAAAUCACAAAAAAUUCAAAAAGCUGAUAGAGCUCUCCUCCUUAAACUUAAUUGUUGCUUUCAUAUUUUGUCAUUGUUCCUCUCACAAAGCGUUUCAUGCAAAUGUUGGUGAUUUCUUAAACCUAAUAUAUUAGAAAUAACGAAUAAUAUAAUAUAAAAAAAUAUUCUUUCAUGACUCAAAAAAUAUUAUCAUGCAAACCUCUAAAAUCUAUGUUCACUUUUAUAAUAUUUAAUAUAAUCAAUUUAUAGAAAUUUAUAUAUAUAUAUAUAUAUAUAUAUUUUUGGUUUCCCAAGGUGUUUCCACAGCCGGCAAUCGUGAGACUAAUCCUUCGUUUCUCAAUCAUCGCAUUUUGCGGUAGGAAACUGGCCACAGAGUUUGCUCCAUUUGCCAGAGGCGGGGAUCGAACCCCCAACCUCUUGCUUAAGGGACAAAGCACUGAACCAUUAUGUCAACUCUGAUGAUUUUAUAGAAAUUUAUAGAUAAUGCUGGAGAUGUAAAAUAUAAUUAAACAACAACGAAUGACUAAUCUUUAGGGUAAAUUGGAAUAAUACUUUAUAACCCCAUAUUCUAGAUGGAACAAAAUCAACAUAUACUGACUUGAUGGUAACUUCAUAUCCAUCUCUAUUGUCUUUUAGCAGACUCACUUAAUAACAUGACAUAAUGCAAAAACAUAGAGAAUGACGGCAGACGAUAAAUUAAUAUAGUUUUCUAGCAUUUUUCAAAAUAAACUAUUUAUUUCUCCAUUUCAAAUGGAAUAAUCUACGAUUUUUUUUAGUUUAUUUUUAAAAAAAUGGUCCUUUUCGCUUUUACCAAUUCGUUAAUUUUAAUUUUUUACGUGGCAUAUUUAAGCCCAUAAGAUGAAAUGAGAUUUUGAUAUAUUUUACAUAUUUUAGUUUAAGAUCACAAGAUUUAGGAGUGUUCAUUAUUUCUUUAAACUCCGUGUAAAAUCACAAGUUAUUUUUUUUUUUAUAAAACACUGCUUUAGAUCACAAUAUUUUUAUAGAAUUUAAGAAAACAUUUAAGAAGCAUUAGGUUUCAUUAUGUUACUAUUAAAAAUUAUGAAUUAACAGUAGAGCCAUAGAAGACAUAAGUACUUCUUUGUUUAUGCCUGUUUAAAAGACAAUACCUGUAAUGCUUGGACUGAAGUUACAUUCCCAUGUAAAACUCUUCCCCGCAUCUGACAUGUCUUACGAAUAAAGAUUUGAAAUGUAAUAUUUAGAAUUUAUGUCUAGAAAUGCAAUAACUUUGUCAUUGGAGAAUGAUGAAAAUGGUAGCAAUUUGAGAAUAUAUACAUUUUGAUAUAACUCACCAAAUUAUUUUUCUCCUUAGCCACAAUUUGAACCACUUCAUUAUUGAUUUGUUCCUUACUCCCAAAUUUCAAACCUAGAAAUAAUAGCAGAUGAUCAUAAUUCAUAGUUUGUUGGUUUCUUCGCCGCCUUGGUGUCGGUGAAUAGAAAAUGUGAUAAAAUUUUAUUUGUAGUGCUGAUUGUCUGAUCCACUCCAUUAUUGAAACAAUGAUUUUUUUUUAUUAAUUUACUAAUAUCAAGAAACUUUGAAAUGUUUGGAUAUAUGAAAAAUGUUAGAAGUUUGUAUUGUUUGCUACCGUUACAAUUUCGUUUGAAUCAUUUGAUUUUUCAAGGAUAUAUUAUGUAGUAGUAACUUUGAAACGCGAAAGGAGGGGAAGAAGAAGGGAUCUAAAACAUUUGAAUUGAUUUUACUCUGCUGAAAAAAGAUAAUAACUGAUGAACUUAGAUGGUUUUUUUCCUUUUUCUGAAUUUUCUGAUCUAAAUAAAUUUUCAAAUUGAAAUUUGAACUAACUGUUUCCUUUUAGUUUUUUUCAGUUUUAAAAUAAUUUUUAAAUUGAAAAUUUUGUUUGAAUUUUUUAUUUUUAUGUUUAUAAUUUCUGAUGCUUUUCCUUGGCAUUCUAGGUGACUUUUAUCUCUCCUAUUUUAGGUUAACAGAUUUUUAUAAGUUUUUUUUUUAAAUUAGAAUUUUGUGGUGAUGACAUAUGACAUUUUUGCCUCUCCUAUUAUAUAUAGAUGGAAAAAGGCUCAAAUAUGUCACUGAACUAUCAGAAAUGACUCAUUUAUAUCAUCCGUUAAAAGUUAGGCUCAUUCAUGCCAUCGCCGUUACAAAACGGGCCCAUCCAUGCCAUUACUUUUUAACAGAUGAUUUUUAAAAACAGCCUUGCCACAUAGCAGCUUAUUAGAGGGUCACGUCAUUUUUUAUUUAAAAAAAAAAAUUUAAAUCUUUUUUUUAUCCAUUAAAAAGAAUCCACGCAACUUUUUGAUCCAUUAAAAAUUAGUUUGAUCUAUGCUUUUAAAAUUUGAUUAAUUUUUCAUGAAUAUAUUCUUAAAACAUUCUUGUUCGAUUCAUUUUUUUGGUCAUUUUUGACAUAUUAAGAUUGUUUUCAUAUUUUACCUUUAAUAUUAAUUAUUUUUUUCUUCAAAUUAAUUUCAAAUACAAUAGUAAACAUCAUUUAAUAAAUAUAUUAUAAUAAAAUAGCUAUUUUAAUUGANNNNNNNNNNNNNNNNNNNNNNNNNNNNNNNNNNNNNNNNNNNNNNNNNNNNNNNNNNNNNNNNNNNNNNNNNNNNNNNNNNNNNNNNNNNNNNNNNNNNNNNNNNNNNNNNNNNNNNNNNNNNNNNNNNNNNNNNNNNNNNNNNNNNNNNNNNNNNNNNNNNNNNNNNNNNNNNNNNNNNNNNNNNNNNNNNNNNNNNNNNNNNNNNNNNNNNNNNNNNNNNNNNNNNNNNNNNNNNNNNNNNNNNNNNNNNNNNNNNNNNNNNNNNNNNNNNNNNNNNNNNNNNNNNNNNNNNNNNNNNNNNNNNNNNNNNNNNNNNNNNNNNAAGACCCUAAAAUUUGAGGGGCCUAUUUUUGUUUAAUAAUAAUAAAUUACAAAUUUUAAGAAAUAUAUUAAACACUAUUUAUAUAAAAAAGAAAAAUUUUAUAUAAAAAAAUAAAACGUAGGGCCUCCGUUUGAUUUUCUCCUUAGGCCAUAAAUUUGCUUGAGCCGCCCCUGAUGCUGAUGAUGUCAUUCUAUGCUUAACAUAAAAAUAAAAAAAUAAAAAGUUAUUUACAUUCGGCUGAAAAAAUAUUUCACGUAUGUUAAGACAUACUAUAUGCUUGAUUAGAAUAGCGUUUGGUUAUAAAUUUUAGUAGUAGAUUUUUUUAAAUAUUUGUUUGAUCAUGAAAAAUUAAUCAAAUUUUAAAAGCAUAGAUCAAAUUAAUUUUUAAUGGAUCAAAAAAUUGGGUGGAUUCUUUUUAAUUGAUAAAAAAAAUUAAAAAGAAAAUUAAUUUAAAAAUAAAUAAAUAAAUAAAAUGAUGUGGUCCUCUAAUAAGCUGCCACGAGGCAAGACUGUUUUUAAAAAUUAGCUGUUAAAAAGUAAUGGUAUGGAUAAGCCAGUUUUAUAACGGCGAUGACAUAAAUGAGCCCAACUUUUAACGGAUGAUAUAAAUGAGCCACUUUUGAUAAUUCAGUGGCAUAUUUGAGCCUUUUCUUAUGUACAACAUAUCCACAAGAUAAGUGUCACAGAGAUGUGGAUGCUAUGAUAGAUUAGAUGUGUGUCAGGCCAAAUUAGAUAAGAUUAUAAGUAACCACAUUCAUCAAAAGAUGCAAGUAUCACACAUUAAGAAUAACAUGUGAGAAGACUGUUUGAAUGAAUCAGACAUAUUCUACGUUGAUCUAUAGAUAUAACGGUCUAUAGGCAUGUUCUAUGUCAUUUGUAAAUGAGUGUGUUAAACGAGGACAAUGUAAACCUAAAAUUACAUGAAACGAAAUGAUCUCAAAAGACUACUUUCAAAUACUUUGUAAUCAAUAUCGACUUUGCUAAAGAUAGAACACAAUAAAUUUAAAAUUUUCAUAUGGGAAGCCAACCAAAAAAUCAAUCUUAUAUAACCAAACAAUGUUAAAAAGAAAAAGUUAUUGGGCAAACAACGUAAAUUUCGAUAGUUUGAAACUUAAUUAUAAAAAAAAAUUGACAUUUUGCAUAAUUACUGAAAUUUUUGAUUUUGGAUCCGUUGAGUGCAUAAUUAGCUCUCGAUACGUUUAACAAAGAUACAUUUUUUCUUUUGUAAUGCUACAUAAUUAGCUUCCUAUAUAUUUUUUAUUUCAAUUUAAAUUUGUCGUGAUAUAUAAUACAUUAAACGAAGAUAUAUUUUUUUUCUUAUAAAGAUAUAUAAUUAGUCCAUGAUAUUUUUUUAUUUUUUUUGACUCUGUCAAGAUACAUAAUAGCCUCCCUGAUAUAUUCAAGGAAGAUACAUAAUUAGUUAGAUUUUUAUAAUUACUUUGUAAGGAUGAAAAUUUGUGUAAAAUAUAAUCUACUUGGAAAAAUAUAUUUAGCCAAUUUUCUAAGUAGAGGGAUAAAAUUAAAUUUGAUCUUUCCACUAAUAAAUACUCCCUCCGUUCUAGUGUCAUUAUUUUCUUUUUUCUCCGUCCUUAAAGAAUAUCACAUAUUCUUAUUUAGUAACUAUUUAAAGACACAAUUCUAUUUUUAUCCCAAUUGAUCCCAUUUAUAAGGCCACACUUAAUUAAAAAUAAUAAUAGUACAUUAUUUUAAUAAAGAAUAAUUUGAUAAAAACUGUCAAAUUCUUUACUUAUUCCUUAAAUUUCGUAUUCGGUUAAGGGCUCAUUCGUUUGCAGUUAAUGGAGGUCUGAAUCUGAAUGGUUCAAACUUCAGACCAUUAAGUUCAUUUAUUUUUUUAUUAAGAUUUUAGCUCUUAAUGGGUCUUAAUAGGUCUUAAUCAUUCAGAUCUAGAAUCAAGUCUUAAUGGAUCUAAAAAAGUAUUCUAGAGUUGAAUAAUAUUUACCGUCACUCUAUUCAUAAUCGUUAGUCACCACCACUAACCACCUCUAUCACCGUCACCAUUGUCAACCACCACCCACCGCCACCACCCACAUCUACCAUCACAAUCACUAUUCAUAACAAAUAUUGCUACCAACCACUAUUGUCAACCGCUACCAUACCUACUAUCUCUAUUAUUCUAAUUAUAUUCAUCGCCACCACUGCCGUCAACACCACCACCAUCAUCAACUACUACCGGUCAAUCCUUACUAUCAACCAACUCAUUUAUCAAACUAGCACUACCGCUAACUACCACUAAUACAUCACAACCUCCACAUAUUCUUUGCCCGCCACCACUAUUGUCACUAGUAACAUCACUUCUACCAUCACCUCAACCAUUACCGUCGCUACAAUUUAUCUCUACUAACAACCAUCUCCAUCAUCACAACUAACAACAUCUCCAACUAGCACCAACACAUUGUCAAACCAACAGGCAUUCAUUUUUCAGCCAUCACAAUUAACACCUUCAAUUACUAACAUCAAGCAAUGUCACAUAACAACCACCAUCACCACUAUCAACCACCACCAUUAUAACAGUCACUAUAAUACCAACCAUCACAACUAUCACCAUCAAUAUUACUAAUCAUUAACAUUAAUCGUUGACACUGCAACCACCAUUAUAAACUAUCUUUACCGUCACUAAUAAAUAUAAAUAUUUUUUUCAAUCAAAUAAUAAUUUUGUUGUAUUAAAUUACAUACUUUAGUAAUAUAUAAUUAGUUUUUUAUUUGAAUUACUUUUUUUAUUUUAUUAUAUACAUAAAUAAUUUUUUUUGCAUAUUCAAAUAUUGAAAAAUAAAUAAUUUUAAUUAUUCACUUUUCAGAUUUAGAGACAACAUCUUAAUCAUUCAGUUCAGAAAUCUGAAUCUUAAAAAAACAAAUGCACCUAAAUGACAUUUUGUUGUUCAAGAAGGAGGGAGUGAAAUUGAAAGUGAGGGAGUAGUGUUAUUUACAUUUCUACUUCAUCAAAUCCAAUAAAAUUUCUUGUUCAAGAAUUGAGGGAUAAUUUGGUGAAUAGGAAUAAUAGUAAUUAAUCUAGGCAUCGUGAAAAUGGAGAAAGAGGGAAAAAGCGAUGGCGGUGAUGUUGAGGGGAGUACAAUAAUCAAAGUUCACGUUAAGUUCGCGGGGCGAUCAAUACCGGUGGAAAUGUCUGAUGAGUCCACCGUUAAACCCUUGAAAUCUCUCCUUCAAUCACUCACUAAUGUCCUAUCUCGCGGCCAAAAACUCAUUUUCAAAGGUACUCAACACUCACUCCAUUUUAAUUUAUUUGUCCGAUUUUAAUUUGGUAUAACGGAGUUUAAAAAUUAAAGGCAUAAUACAUAAAUAUUUUCUUUAACUUGACCUCAAAUCACUUACACUUGUUUAAAGUUGAACAAGUAGACUCACACGUUCCAUGUGACAUAAUACACAUAGAACACCAUGUAGGACAAGAAUUAGCCAUAUAGGAUGUCACAUAGUAAAUAUGUGUCUACUUGUUCAAUUUUAUACAAGUUUAAAUGCUUACUUAUGCACACUUAAAGUUGGAGGUCAUAAAUGUGAUUUGAGGCUAAAUGAAAAGGUAUAUUUAUGUAUUGUGCCAAAAGUAGAAGAUAUGUCACAUUUGUCAUGUCACGUGUAAAGAUGGGACUAAAGAGAUGCUGAAGAAAAAAAAAGACACAUUAAUGUUGAAAUAAUAUGUUUGUCUGAAUUUAACUUGAUAUAAUGAAGCUUAAAAGCGAAAGAUAUGUCAAACACUUGUCAUCACAUGUAAAGAUGGAAUUAAAGAGAUGCUAAAGAAAAAAAAGACAUUCAUUUCUAUUAGAUCUAUUAAAUAUCCGCACAGAUCUAUUAAAUAUCCGCAUCUCCCUACAAAUGGUAUUAGAGCUCAGUAAUUCAAAAAAUAUGGAAGUGAGAUAUAUAGAAUUAUUAGAAUUUAUGUUAGAGUUAUUAGAAUUUACCUAUAAAUUAUAUAAAUUAAUUAUGCGAAGACCAUUUAAAAAUAGAAAAGCUUUUUGAAAAAUUAAAGAAUCUUUAAUUAGUAAUUAUUCAGAAUAUAUAAGUCUAAAUAAAACAAAAAAAAACCCACAAAGAUUAACCUAUUUAAUUACAUUAAUAUCUAGUAUUGAAUCAAAAUUAAUAAUCCAUUUAAAAUCCAGAAGAAUGAAACACAUACCACCUAAUUAUGGUAAAAUUAGAUUUAGAUAUCCACCCAGAUAUUAUAAAUAUAAUUUAAAAUGAAUAAAGUACAACAAUACAAAGAAUUAAAACAAAUUAUUUCUGAAAAACGUAAAGAAUUAAAAAUAAGAAUAAAAAAACUACAUUAUAAUAUAUUCGCUGGAGUCAGUAAAAACUCAAUAGACACACAAAAAGAUGAAAUAUCAAAAUUAGAAUCACAAAUAGAUAGUUUAGAGUAUAUAUAUCAACAUGAACUAUUCACAAUAAAACGAACAAAGAAGAAUUUAUAAUAGAUGAAAAAAUAUAUGAAAACUACGAAGGAUCAAAAAUAAAAAUAGUAUUUUCUAAUCUAGGAAGAAGAUAUAAGAAAAUAGUUGAACAUUUAUACCUAAUGUUAGAAAAAGAAGAAUUAAAAUUAGAAGAUAAAUUAACAGCAAUGGUAAGAAUAGAAAAAGAAAAUGAAGAGAUAGAUAGGAAAAAAGAAAUAGAAAAAAUAAAACAACAAACUACGGAAGAAAUACGAAAAAUAGAAGAAACCAAA
rnacentral:lncRNA from 1 species